AUAGGGAAGGGUUUUAACUAAUUAAUCUACCUACUAUUAAAUUAACCUAAUUUCUAAUAAAGUGGGGGGGUUUUUUUUAUCUAAUUUUGCAAGUUUAGAUGAACUUAAUUCGUAACACAAAAUUCAAUCAAUUAACAAACACUUAUGUUAGUUCAAAUCCACUUCCCCUCAAUGGUUUAUAAAUUAGUUAUGACAAUUACUGUUGGUUACCAAUUAAGAUAGUAUUAGCAAUUCAGUUCUAAAUUUACUAACAUUGAUUAAUUAAUGUAAAUCUAUGCAUUGUCACACAAUAGUUAACUUAAAAUCAAUUAUUAAAUGAAAUUGGAGCCAUGUAAGAUUGAUUUGAAAAACACACUUAUGGUCAUAAUAUGAGUUCUCUAGCACAUCCUAAUUCAAUAGUUCAAUUAUUUUUCUAAGAUUUGUUUGAUCUUAGCUCUAAUAAACUAGUGUUCACUGAAUUAUUAAGUAUUCAAAUUCAUGCAUAUUCAUAUUCACUAACUACACAUAAUAAGAAUUUAAAGCAAUCAAAUAUUAAAUCAAACAUGCUAGGUUCAAUCAAUCAAACACAAGUCAUAACCAAAAAGUAAAUCAAAACUAAAGUAUUGAAACCAUGAGUUCCAGCUUCAUCUAGCUAACAGAAGCAGCUAGAUUUAGCUGGACAUACUAGCAAACAAACAUAAACAAAUCAUAUUCAAAGACAUAUUUAAAUGUACCAAACUAUUAAGCUAAUAAUGAACUUCUCCUUCUUCCUUGGUGUUGAAAGCCAAUUCCAAACGUUUUCUCCCUCUGGAUUUUGUCUCCAGGAACCCUCCAAGUUGUCCAAAAGUCCCUCAAAGUCGUAAUGAUCAAGAGAAUAUAUAGUUAUCAUAAAAUUCACUCUCACGUCGUGAAUGAGUAUGACUCACGACGUGAAUGCAGUAGAUAUCUGUGUUCUACAAGGAUUCCUCCUCCGCGAUGCUUAUCUUCUGGAAUAGUUCCAUUCACGUCGUGAAUAGUUAUGACUCACGACGUGAAGUUAGCAGAUUACAGGGAUUUCCUCUUCUUUCAUUCUCCAAGCCUCCAAAGUUCCAUGCUUUGUCAAUUUCAGUCAUUUUCUCCCAAAAUACUUCAAUUUGGCUGCAAAGUACAAUUAAAGCUUAUAAGCAUCAUUAUUUAAUGCAAAUAACCAAAAUAUUAAUAAAAAUGUAAGUAAAUAUUGCCCAAAAACAUGUAUAAAUAUGGCAGUAUCACCCUUCUUCACGAUCUCUGUUCAACGCCGCACGUCUGGUCAGUAGUGGAGCUGGCUUUGGCGGUAACAUGUAUGUAACAUAUCGAUACAUCAUACCCACGAACAUAUCAUUCUCGUCGAUAUCAUGAUUAUAUGGAUGAAACGGGUCAAAAGGUUCCAUUUUUUUUUUGUAAAUAGAAAUAUAGAAAAUAUAUUAAACUUGAUAGAAAUGUGUAUUAGAGAGAAUUAGAUAAAUUUUCUAUGUAAAGAUAAGUUAGAAUGUGUGUGUGUGUGUAUAUAUAUAUAUAUAUAUUAAAGUAAUUUUUUUUAUUAUUCGUGACCGUUCCACAUCGGUCAGAAAGUAGACCGUUUAUCCCGUUUCGUCCCGUUAUCACCCACACACCGAAUAUCGUAACGCCAAAAAAACGUGUACCUGGAGGCGGUGUUUGCACCGUUAUACCAACAUUUUUUGAUGUACACGUCGGAUUAACGGGCACUUCGGUUGCCCAUUCCGAGUAGUCUAAAUGUCAAAAUGCAAUGAAGAAAAAGAUUCAUUACAAAUGUCAAUUAUAAGUAUGUAGAAGGAUAAAAUAUAAAAAAGUUAUUAUCUUUUGGGAUAUACACAGUAAAGUCCCAAUAUUUUCAUCGAUUUGACAAGAAAAUCCUGAACUUUAUUUUUUUGACAGUAAAGUCCAAAUUACCGGCAGUUUUUGACACUUUUACAUUUUUUUCCCGAUUAGCCGGUAAUUAGGACUUUUUUGUCAACAAAAUAAAGUUUAGGACUUUCUUGUCAAAUCGUCAAUUAGGACUUUACUGUUAAAAAAAAAAAUAAAGUUUAGGACUUUUUUUGUCAAAUCGUUGAAAAAAUUGAGACUUUAGUGUAUAUAUAAUUUUUUUGGUUAGAAACUUAAUGAUAUGAUACUCUUUACGCAUAAGAGUUAUUGAAACAUUCUCUAAUCAGCUAGAUCAUAUUGAAAUCCUUUACGUUUGCUUCUUGUUAAAUCGUUAUUUUAAUCUCAACAAACUGACAUUGAAAAAAAUUGAGAUAAUCAAGAAAGAAAGAAAGAACCAGGGUUGUGUUGGCUUUUUGCAGUCUCAAAAAUGGAGAAAUUAGAAACCUACAAAAACGAAAAUGCCCUGACUUUUUACAAAUACAAACAACACGUGCCUAGUCAAAAUGGUGUGAAUGUGGAGAAGGGAAAGAAGGACAAUUUCGUUUUUUUCGGUUUCUUAUUUCUCCAUUUUUGGGGUUGCAAAAAGCCAACACAACCCUGGUUCUUUCUUUCUUUCUUGAUUAUCUCAAUUUUUUUCAAUGUCAGUUUGUUGAGAUUAAAAAAACGAUUUAACAAGAAGCAAACAUUAAUGAUUUCAAUAGAAUCUAGCAUAUUAGAGAAUGUUUCAAUAACUCUUAUGCUUAAAGAGUAUCAUACCAUUAAAUUUCUAACCAAAAAAAUUAUAUAUACACUAAAGUCCCAAUAUUUUCAACGAUUUGACAAAAAAAGUCAUAAACUUUAUUUUUUUUGACAGUAAAAUCCUAAUUGACGAUUUGACAAGAAAGUCCUAAACAUUAUUUUUUUUGACAAAAAAGUCAUAAUUACCGGUUAACCAGAAAAAAAUGGUAAAAAUGUCAAAAACUGUUGGUAAUUUGGACUUUACUGUCAAAAAAAUAAAAUUUAAAACUUUUUAUCAAAUCGAUGAAAAUAUUAGGACUUUAUGGUAUAUAUCCCUUAUAACUAAAUAGCAACUAUAAUGUGUGGAGUUUGGUAAAUUCCGCUUGGGUUUGGUCUCUACAACCCAUUCAACCCCAAGGCUAUUCUAGUAAUUUCCCCACUAGAAGGAGCUAGGUUCCGCUGCCUUUUAAGUCUAGGUUUUCACUAUCAUCACUCUCACUCAUCGUUUUGUGGUUUCCUGUGGAGAAGAGCAGCAGAUACUCAACAACUUGCAGGCUCUAUUUUCUCAUCGCCAUCAGGUAUCUGUAGGUGUCCUAAAAUCUACGGUUAGGGUUUUGUUAGCACAGUAAUUCAUGGAAAAUGUUGAAAUCUCACUUGUUACCGUCGAUUCAAUCUUUAUUUUUUAGGAAAAAACAUCGGUUCACCAUAUCGUUAUAAUUGUUAUGAUGAUUUUGGUAUCAUCGAUGAAGUUUUAUGUGUUAUGUUUUCGUUGUAAGCUGGAUGUUUCAGGAUGUUUGAUGAUGUGUGCGAGAAUUUCAUUUUAGGGUUUAUGGUGUAUGUUUGCUUUCUUAAAUAGCGUCUACAUGUUAGCUAAUAUAAAUAGUUACCUUGAUGUUUAUAUAUUGGUUGCCACUCGGCUUCUUCAUCUUUGAAAACAAUGCGAUUAGACCCCCCUUAGGUUUGGAUCUAUGCUUAGAUGUGGAUUGUGUAAUUUUUCUCGUGAAAACUAUUGGAUAAACUUGCUUCGUUUUUUGCACCAUGGAAAGCUUAUUUAUGAUUUAAGCCUGGUUCCAACUUUGUUUGUGGGGUUAAUUUGCUACUUUUAAUGUCUAUAUGUAAAGUAUCAGUUGCUCUCUUUUAGGGUUUAUGUUUAGGUGUCUUAUUACCUCGACAACAAGCAAUGGUGAUGGGAUUAGAUCAUAUGUGAAGUUCUUUUGGGGUGCAUGGAUUAUUGCAUGUGAUGCCCUAUAAUAGUUUUAAUAUAUCAAUGGCUGUAAAUUAUCUGUCCAUAUUAUGCUAUGGUUAUCUGUCUAUUAAACUGUUUUCUUUUUGAACAUGUAAUGUGCAGAAAGAGUGCUUUGAGGAAUGCUGGAUUGAUUGGUCCCAAAUACAAAGAAGAUGAGCAAGAAGAACCCAUUUGUAUACUUGGAUGUGUCUAUAGAUGGAGAUCCUGUUGAAAGGAUGGUUUUUGAGGUCUUUAUUAUAGCUUUAACCUUCUAAGAUCUUUCUUUUAUUCUUUUUUCUGCCAGAUGGCAUUGCCACAUCACUUAUUAUCAAGCUGAAAAACUAAUUCCUUUUAUAUGGUGUUACAGCUAUUCUCAGACACUGUUCCCAAGACUGCUGAGAACUUCCGGGCACUUUGUACUGGUAAAAUGUUCAUCAUAAUUGGUAUUCUUUUUGUCAUAAGUUUAUAAAACUGGAUGCUUUUUUAAAUUUCAGGAGAAAAAGGGAAUAGUCAGAAAACCGGGAAACCCCUACACUACAAAGGAUCCUUCUUUCAUCGCAUAAUCAAAGGAUCCAUGGCUCAGGUAUGUUUUCUAUCAAUUACUUUCAUAAAUUAUAUUGUUUUUUUUUUUUUGUUUUGUUAUUUUAUUUUCCACUUAGUUUCUUCUAGUUCUGGAUGUCUUGGUGGUGGUCUGUCUUUUUAGUCGGCUAUCCUUGUUUAAUCUGUAGGAUACAGGGUUGAUGGUUCCAACUGCUUUUCUUGUGAUGUAGUUUUUAAGGUUGUAAUUAUUUGGUUGUAUUUGUAAUAUCAUCACAUUCAUUCUGAAACAUAUCAUACAAAAUUUACAAAUCCAUCUUUCUGCAAUGAUUUCUGAAUAUAAUUUCUAUAAGUGAAUUAAUUCUUUGUAUUUUUUUUUUGCAGGGUGGGGAUUUUUAUAAACGUGAUGGUAUGUACAUUUUGCCACCAAUUUUUUUUAAUUUUUGUAUACAAAAUCCAUAUCUCAUUGGUUUACUUUUGCAGGAAGUUAUGGAGAAAGCAUAUAUGGAGGGAAGUUUCCAGGUGAGAAAAGUCACUAUGUUCAUUACUUGUGUUUUCUGUUUGAAUGUUGAUGAUCAUAAAUACAUAAUAUGUCUUUAGGUAGUUGAGGAUUUCAUUUAAUUUGUUUAAAAAGUGUAUGCAAAAGAAAUUGAAAUAAACCUUUUAGCUUCUAUCUCCCCAAAAUUUCUAUAUAUGUUUAUAUUUUGAGAGAAUGGGUUUCCUUUUUGAAUUGCCUGUGAAGGUGGGGGCUGACAUUGGUCUUAUUCUCGGUGCAUGGGAGCUCAACCCACAAUGAAAUGGGCAAAUUGUAAUUGUCUUGAAAAAUGGUGGGUGUAUGAAUAUUUUGUGUGCCUUUCUUUCUAGGUUUGAAAUCUUUGGUAAAAUACAAAGUAUUUGGUUUGGAUGAUUUAUGCAGCUAGUUAAGUCUAAUGUAUAAUGUAUGCUUUAUAUUUAUGCCCAAUACAUUGUCAUGAGUUUUUUUAUCUGGCUUUUUUUCCAUGUUAAGUUCCUGGCUACCUUAUUAUUAUUAUUUUGAAUUGGUUAUAAUCAAAAUUUGUUACAUUUCAGAUGAAUCCUCCAAACUGAAACAUGAUGCUCCUGGCCUUCUAACAAUGGCAAUUGCUGAUCGUGAUUCACGUGGCUCUUUAUUUAAUGUGACAUUUGGCGCUAAUCGCCACCUGGAUAGGUUUGCUCAUCUUUGUUGUUACAAUUUUAUGUUGGACAAAUUGAUAGAAAUAGCUACAUACCUUACUUUUGUUAUGGUUACAUAUUGCUAUUAUUGAUAAAAAAAAAGUGUUAAGUAUGUUGCUAUUACGGGUAAAAAAAUAAAUACACUGCAUGUAUUGGUAUUUCCUACAUGUUAUCUUUUUAUAUUUAUCUGAAAAGUUAGAGUUUUAGCAACAUUAACUGUCUAACUUUUGAUGGAAAAGGAAAUUUAAGUGUUGGAAAUGGAAUUUCUUGAACAGGAAGUAUGUUAUUUUUGGAAAGCUUGUUCAAGGACUUGAUGUAUUGAAGAAGAUAGAAAAUGUGGGUGAUGAAGAUGGAAUGCCAACUGUGACAGUGAAGAUCAUUUAUUGUGGGGAAGUAAACGAGAGUGAGAAUCAAAGCUCUGGUAUGGUGGAUAAUUAUUGCAUUUUUAAUGACAUAAUUGUUUGUUUAUUUUUUUAAAAUAAAGUCUCUGUUUUUGAUGUUUUUAUAGAUAAGAAGGCAGCCAGCAAGUUGAAAAGUGGGAAAGAUGUUUCUUCAGAGGUUCACAGCCAUGAAGUGAAGCGGAAGGGAAAGCACAAGAAAUCUUCAAAAGAUAAAAGGAAGAAAAGAAAAAGAUAUUCUUCAUCUGAUUCAGACAGUUCAUCUGACAUGGAAUCUGACUCAUCUGAUUCGGAUAGUGAUUCCGACUCUGAUGAUUCAUCCUCGUCAUCAUCUGAUGUCAGCUCUUCAAGUGAUGACAGGCGUAAGAGAAAAAAGAGAUCCAGAAAGGAUCGACACAAACGUGGAAAAAGAAAGGACAAAAAACGCGAGAAGAAGCGUAGGAGACGCGAUAAGAAAUCCAAACGUAAAUCAAAGAGGUUGGUAUGGUAUUUUAAUUUUAGUUAAACCUUAAAUAAAGUAAUGUUUUAUUCUUUAUAAAAGUUAUUAUAUAUCAUUUUGUAGGGUGUCUGGUAGCGGAAGUGAGAGUUCAAGUGAAAGCGAACAUGCGUCUGAGGACAAUAAUGGUGAUGUCAAAAAGCGAAACCGGAAACAUAAUAAUAGUAAUAAUAAAUCUCCUACAGCUGAAUUUGAAGAUGGUAAAACAGGAGAUGCAUUUGCAUUUGAUGGACAUGUAAAGGAGGAAGAAGGUGAAUACCCGAAAGAAAAUGGUGGGGACCGCCCAAGCAAUGGUGUUGACCUGGCGAAGGCUGAUAUAGUCGAUGACCAUCUCGGAAACUCUAGGUUCAAUCAAAUUUAAUAAAACUUUAUUAUUAUUAUUAUUAUUAAAUUCUUUCUAAUCUUAUUUUUUUUUUACUAAACAGAAGUAGAAGCAAAAGUCCUCCUCGAAGGGAAUUGAGCAAGAGUAUGAGUAUUAGCCCAAGGAGGAGUCAAAGUGUUAGUGGGACCCCUCCUAGACGGGCCCCAUCACGUAGCCCGGUCAGAAGCGAAAGCAGCAGCAAGAGUCCGGUUAGAAGCAUAAGCAGAAGUCCAGUGAGGGGCAAAAACGUCAGAAGCAUAACUCCCUCACCAUCACCUCCACGAAGGAGUGUUUCUAGAAGCCCACUGCGAACAUCGUCUAGAAAAUCCUCACGAAAAUCAGUAAGCAGAAGUCCGGUUAGAUCUUCCAGAAGAAGCUACAGCAGAAGCCCAGUCAGAUCAUCUAAAAGAAGCUUGAGCAGAAGCUCUGGUAGACCGCCUUUAAGAAGAAGCCCUAGCAGGAGUCCGGUCAGACCGCCUAUGAGGGGUGGUCGCCGGAGCUAUUCCAGGAGUCCGGUAGGUGGGCGUAGGGCGGCUAGGUCACCGGAGAGAAGCUUGUCUAGAAGCGCUUCACCUGAUGGCUCUCCCAAACGUAUCAGAAGAGGACGCGGUUUCAGUAACCGAUUUUCUUACGCACGCCGAUACCAUUCUCCCGAUCGCUCCCCGGUCAGAUCUUAUCGCUAUAGAAGUGACCGCGACCGUGACCGUGACCGGUAACAAACUAACAGCUAGCAAUUUUAAAUUAAGUUUUUUAAUAUAUUUAAUAUAAAAACAAUUAAACCAAUAUUUUGGUUUGUAGUUAUUCAAGCUAUAGAAGGCGCAGCCCACUGAGAGACAGAAGUCCACCAAGGUAUUUUGGAGUAAUAAUGGAAUCUUUUUUUUUGGUGAGAAAGUGAUUAUUUGAUUGUUAAAUUCAAUUAUUUACACAGGUACAGAGGGAGAAGAAGCAGGACACGGAGUCCGAGUGUGUCCCGGAGUCCUGUCCCUGUGCGGUACCGCCGGCGCUACAGUCGGAGCCGGUCGCCGGUGGAGACAUCAAGGUACAGGCCAUCACCGCCAGUGGAGAGGAGGAGGGCGCCACGCAGCAGGACCCCGCAUUCUCAAAGUAGGAGCCCGUAUGAACGUAGGUCCUCUCCAUCACCAUCUCCGAGAAGGAGCGUGAAGUCAAAGUCAAAGUCAAAAUCGCCAUCGAGAUCAAGGUCAAUGUCGAGGUCAAGAUCUAGGUCGUCUUCUGGAAGCCCACCUGGGAAGAAAGGACUGGUGUCGUAUGGAGAUGGUUCUCCAGACAGUCAGAAGUGAGAAGAGAAGAGAAAGAUCUUACUUUUGAGGGUGAAAUGAUUUAUAGACUUGGUAAUUGGUACACUAUGUAGGGUGGGUGUGUUUUGAAUAAUUUGACUAUUUCUCUUGUAUUUCUUUCUUCUUCUGUGGAGUGACUGUUGAGGUGCUGCUAGACUAGUAACGAUGAUUGGAUAUGUGUUUGUUUUUAAGAGGUUGGUUAGACUGAGGGGAAUGGGACCGAGUAUCAAUUAUGUUAUGUUUUAAAAAGCCUCUUCUGUUUUUAUCUUUAUUGUUAUGGUUUGCUCUUUGAUCAGUGCGACUUGAAGGUAGUUUGUGCAUUUAUAUAUGUAUUAACAUAAUCUUGUGUGCUUGAAUUGAUACAUUAUAUUAUAAUCUUUUCAAAGAAUAAGCUAACAAGUUAAAAGGAGGGUCAUCAAGAUGUAUUGAAUUAUUAAGUAGAUUGAGAGAAGAUUAUUUACCAUCUCUUUAAGACCGGUAAUAAUUGCGACAUAUGUAUUGUAUUUAGUUAUUUAUUAUUUAUUAACCGAUAAAAUUGGAAUAAGUUACCUAAAAUUUAGGGGAAAAUAUGAUUAAUUACGUAAGUUCAGGGGGUAUUUUGGUUUACGGCAACAGCAGGCGACGUGUAGAAGAAGAAUCUCGGGAACCCUAGCAGAGGUUUGUUUCUCAAUCCUACGCCGCUACGACCAUUGCCGCUUUCUCCACUCCACGAUGAUAACAAAGAAACAUCCGUCGCCGUUUCUCAAUCCAACGGUAAUAUGAUUUACUUGUUCGUUAUUAUUUGAAUCUAUUAAACACAAGAUAUAAGCCGAAGCAUUUUGAUUGAAAUAAGACAGUAACCAAUAAAUACUAAAAGCCAAUCUCUUUUCUGUAGCUUGGUAACAUUUGUAUUACUAAUAAAUGAUGAAUGUAUUAUUGAUUGUACUUGGGUUUUUGAUUGACAGGGUAACAUUAAUGAUAUUGAUCGUAAUGUUCUAUGCAAUGUGUUACACAUCAAACAAUGCUCCAAAGCCUCCCAAUAUAUGGUGAAGUUUACAAAGCAAAGGCAUUGGAAUCAUCAAACAAGUAUGUCUCUACCUUUUAUAAGCUUCUUCAUUUUCAGUAACAUUAUAGGAAUUAGACACUCUUUCUUUGUCACCACUGCAUUUGUGAUGGCAUUGGCAGCUGGUAAGCUUUGGGACACCAUUUCUGAAUGCAUCUCCCAAAUUCAAUCUGAUUGUGAUGAUGAAGCUAAAGAGAGGGCACUUCAAACCCUAGUUUCCAUCACAAAAGCAAGCCCUCCACACAGAAAUUUAGUCAUGCAGAAUCAGGAAGCCAUCCCCGCUCUCCUCUCCCUGCUCAAAUCCUCCUCCCGUGCUCUUGAAAGACUCUCACUUUCCAUCCUCUUCAACCUCUCAUUAAACCCUAAUCUCAAAUCCACCCUUGCUGACAUGGCAACCAUUCAACACCUCAAUACUGUGAUCCUGUCUCGUGGGUCACUCGAGUCUAGCAAACUAGCAGCUUCUUUGAUAUGCAGCCUGGCAAUGCUAGACAAGAAUAAAGCAGUGUUUGGGGUAGCGAAUACUAUUCAAGCAUUGUUGAAGGGAGUUUCAAGGCCUAAUAGUCCUGUGACACAUCACCUUCUCAGCUCACUUGCUGAGUUGGUGCACUUCCAUGGGAAUUGCACAUUGGCUGUUAGAUCAGGUGCAGUUGGUGUUCUCCUGAGAAUAGUUGAGAACAAAGACAGUGAAGAUCUUUGUGGGACUGCUCUUAGUAUUCUUGGGCUUCUUGCUAAGUUUGAUGAAGGGCUAAAAGCUUUGACAAAUACACCUAGUAUUGUGAGUAGAAUGCUUGAUGUGUUGAAAGGUAGGUCCAUGUUGAAUAAUGAAGGUGCAGCCGAGGUACUUCUUCGUGUUUUUGAUGAGAGUGAAGAAUGCUUGAGAGAUGCUAUCGGAUUGCCUGAUUUCAUGUAUACAUUAGCUGAGCUCUCGGUGAGAGGAUCAACGAGAGCUCGGGAGAAAGCUUCUCUACUGUUGAGAAAACUUGAGGCUAAUGAAUCAUAUGUAGAUGAUGAUCUGGUGUUCUUGAAAUGGUAAGGUAGGAUGCGUGUCUUAAGAAAAGUAACAUAAUAAGAGCUUUUGUUUGUUUUGUAGCACAUGAGUGUGCACAUUAUUAGGUCCUCUUUGAAGGUUUAGGUAAUGAAUAGAUGGGUUUGGUGUUAAAAAAGGCAUGGAGUUUAUAGGAUUGAAGCCAUGACUCACAAAACUACGAACUACAUAAAAAAUGAAUUUGAGAGUUACAUAAAGCCAUAAAGUUAAAUUUAUAAAGAAAGCAUAACUAUCUUGCAUCCAAAUACAACAACAACAACAAAUAAACCCAAAUCCCAUAAAGUCUUGUGAGGUAAGUGGGAGGUUUGAUGUAGGUGGUCUUAGUGUCUUGCCUCCACCCGUGGGUAGAGAGGCUACCUCUAUAGGAGACUUUCGCCAUGAUCAAGGAUGCACCAUACAUGAGCAAAUAAAAGCAAUAUACAAUUAAAUAUACUAAUACUAGAAAUAGUACUAAUUGUAAAAAUGAAAUAACAUAAGACGAUAAAUACUUAAAUGCCUAAAUGAUAAUACAAGAAACAAAACUUAUGCUACUACACUAACCUAAUUCUCCGUCUCCACUCCUACCUAUGUGAGGUCUGUAGAAGGUGCCAACUCCUUCGUGUCUAACCUCACACUAUAGUUACGUUGCGUCCUCGGUCGACCUCUCCUCUUCGCCUUACCGUAGAUGUGACGCCUCGAUCCAUUGAGUACCGUCAUCUAUCCUUAGUACACUUUAUUUUAAAUACAACUAAGAUAAUACCUUAGAUUUCAUCUUCAUCAUGGUUUAACAAAAUUACAUAAGCAAAAGUGCAUAAAAGAAAAACUAUUUUAACCGUUUAUAAUUCAUCCAAAAUUUCUGUUAAAACACUAACUACUUGUGGUCCUUCUUCUUUCCUGAGAUACAUACAUGAAUACAUAAGCUUUAAGUUUAGUGAGUAUUUUGGUUUUAAUAUUUAGCAUAAACAUUUGAUGGAAAAAUAACAAUUAAAUGCUUGAAAACAUUAAUUUGAGAUCUUAUAGCUACAUGUAAGUAGGCCCAACUUCUGGGAGGUUUGCUAACCUUGGGAUUCAUAUAAGGCUGUCCCAUAAGGUCCGUUUUUAAGACGUCCCUUCAUCCCAUACCCAAUGCGUUGGGUUACUUGGGUAUUUAAAUGACCGUACUUAACAUGAAUAAAACUUUCAUGCUAACUUCAUAAUAUGUUGUUAAAUGUCUUUGAAAAAUCAUUUGAGCAAGUGAACAUGGCAAAUAAUUUAAAUGCAUUGAACAUAUACGUAGCAUGUAUGUAUCCCAUUAAAUCACAUAAAUAUACUCACCUUUCUUUGAGCUUUUAGGCUUCUUUUUAAUCUUUUAAGUCACCACCAAGCUUGAUAGUGUAUUCUAGGAUGAAAAAAAAUGCUUAACUUCACUUGCUAUGUCUAGUAAAAUUGUGUGCAUUGCUUGCUUGUUCUUUAGGCCUAAAACAUAGUACAUUGUUGAUGAGAUGAUUACACCUAGUGUACUUGUUGUACCUCAUCUCCUUAGAAGCUUACACCUCAAGCCUCUAGCUCUUCUAUGUCAUCUUCCAGCUUAGCUUAAUCUCCUUAGAAGCUUACACCUCAAGCCUCUAGCUCUUCCAUGCCAUCUUCUAGCUUAGCUUAAUCACUCAAAAUCUAGGCAACGCUUAUCUCUACUUGUAUAUGCUAGCUUGGUUACUACUUUUAGCCUUGAUUUGUCAUGCUAAGCUUUGGUUUACUUGUAGCUGGUGUUGUGGUACUUGUAAGCAUAUGGUAAGCUACUUGUGUGCUUGCUUAUUUUCAACUUUUCUUUUUACAUAAAAUUUGCAACAUUCUUCUAUAACAACUAUUCUUAAAGUGUCCCUUAUGUUCUUUUAUAUUACAAGGGUGUUAUGGUAGAUGAUUGCCUCCUCUUGACAUAUCUAAACCACUAAAAUCUUUCUUUCCUCGAAUUUUCGGUGGUUCACGCAACUCCUAACUUAUUUAUGAUUAUAGCAUUCAGUAUUUUCUCCAACAUUGUUGUAAAGCAUAAACACUGAAGGAUCCUCAUUUCAGAAAUUUCCAUCUUCCUCUCAUGCUCUUUUUUUUCCGGCUAACAUUUGAAGCAACUACCACCUUGUAUCUUGCAUCCAAAUGAUGCCAAUGGUUGUUUUAAAACAAUUUUGGCUAAGGGUGUAGACUAGACAAAGCAAAGUAGAAGGAGAAACGAGGUUUAUUGGGUAGGGUUUAACAUGGACUAGGCUUAUAUAGACCACACUUUUAUCAUGUUAGAUAGUAGAUAGUUUUUUAUAAUGAUUUCUUAUGCAUCUUUAGCGUGGUCGUACAAUUAUGAAUAUUUAUAAUAGUUGGAUAAAUUUAUAAAAUAUGAAAGUGUUGUGGCAAAAUCUAGAGAUUUGAAACAUGUGAACCUACAUGUUUUAGACAUGACACUUUAGUGUCUUGUUUAGGGACCUAUUCCGUGUAAAUGCAUGUAAUUAUCACAUGAAGCUUGCAAAUUGAACUUAUUUUACUAAAUAUUAGGUGUAGACUACCAGGAAAGAAAUUUAAAGCCCAAAUUUGCUUGCCUUUUCUUUCAUUUCCUUUAUCGUGAGUUCGUGACCUUUCCCCUUUAUUGUGCCCUCGACAAUCGACAUAGGACAUCGCCGAGUGGUGCGUUUGCUAUCGUAUCUUUCGAUUGCACCUCAACUACACCUAAAACAACAAGAAUUUGUUUAUCGCAUUGAUAUUAAGGUAUCUUUUUCGAAUACUUAACCUUUAGAUCUAGUUUGAUCCCAAAUCGAUUAUUCCAAAAUUUUACUUGUAAUGCUUUAGUUAGGUAAAUUAUUUUGCAACCGGAAAGAAUUGGCUAGGGUUGUUUGGAAUAAAUGUUUGUGUGCUUCCGAUUACGCUAUCAAUAUUUCUUUACAUUUUUGUUAAUAGGAUUAAUGUCAAUGAACUUAACUUGUAUAUGGAAUGUCAUAAUUAUGAUUUCCAUUCCAUGAUAAACAAUGUUAGGGCCUUAUUAAUGAGAUAAUUCUUUAAUUAAGGUAGUUAUUUAAUUACUUAGAAGCAGUGAUGAUAGUUUGUUAAGCUUUGGUGUCAUGGAUGGUGUCACUUAGAUCAUGAGAGAGAUAGAGAGAAGGGAAGGGGGGGGGGGGGAUCUUAUGGGCCAUCAUUUGUACCCAUCUAGUAGAAUGACGAGAGAGUCGAGUUCCAUAGGUCUUGGAUAUUUCUUCCAUUUCAUAGUGGAUGAUAGUGGGUAUCUUACUAUGAUUUCCUUCUUUGUAUCUCCAAAUUAGCAAAGGGUUUAAAGGCAUUUAGCUACAACUCAUUGCCUUAUUGUGGUUGUAAAUAAUAUGUCCAUCUUUUUGCACAUGUUAUGCUUUUUUCGUAAUCUAGUGGGAAAUUGUGUUAGAUCUUUUGAUAUCCUCGUUUAUAUAGAGGGACACGUUUGAGAACAUGAACCAUAAAUUUUGGAUAUAAUGAUAUUAACUAUGUUGAGACAUCUUUUUGGUUUUAAGAUGAAUUUUGGUUUUACUCCCACCAUUAUCCCAUUUUCUUUGGUUUUUCCUCUCAUUUUUGGACCAUUGACUCUAGUCGUAGUCAAAUCUCAUCUUUACCAUUUUAUAUGGACCUUGUUGCUCAAACCUCAUCUUUAAUAUCGCUAUGCGGCGGUGUUUGGGAUUGCUUUUCAAAACAACCUAUUGACUUAUUGGCUUUUUGAAAAGCCAAUAAGUCAAAAAUAAUGUUUGGCAAACUCAAAAGCAUUUUUCAAAAUAACUUUUCCAUUAGCUUCAAAAAGGAGAUUUCAAAAAGCAGGUAAAACUUGGCUUUUUGAAACUCCUUUUAGCUUUUUAAUCAUAAUAGCUUCAAAAAAGAGAUUUUAAGCCUAACAUUUUUUUUAAACUUAUUGCCUUAUUGGAUUUUGCCAUCUCAAAAGCUAAUCCAAACACUUUUUUAAGUCAAUAAGCACUUUUUCCCAACAACACUUUUGGAAUUCAAAAAGCAGUCCCAAACACCCCCUUGUUCCAACCAUGUGUUGUCAAUGCACCAAGAUCUUCAGUUUUGAUCUGAGCCUUGGCCUACAUUAGUGCUGGCUUUGACUAUUAAGUUCUACCUGAGUUGGGUGUCACUAGCAUUUUCUCAAGAGAUUACUUGAUCUUUCAUUAUUCUACCUUGGUGUCUUUUAGCAGAGCAUCAGAGUUUUCUCUAUUGAGUCAAGAAAUUCUAAACCUUUUAUAUUGCUGGUCGCCUAUAGAUGUUUUUUCCAAUCCAUGACUUGUAAACUACGGCGUUCUCUGUUCUUAUAGAUUUGGUCCUUGAAUUUUAUGCAAGAAAUAUUUUAUAAUGCUUAUUUAAAAAAGAAAAAACUAAUGUAAUGCAAUGUUUAGAAGAGGAAGAAUGAGCAUGGUGGGAGAUUGGAUUUGUGGGUCAUGCAAUCACUUAAACUUUUACUGGAGAGAAUCAUGCAGGAGAUGCAAAGAGCCACGAUCCCAAGACAUGAAUGCAGCUGUGAGUGCGGGCCCCAGGGUGUUUGCUUUUAGGCCCGGGGAUUGGUUCUGUGAUGUUGGGAUUUGUCAGGCUCACAACUUUGCAAGCCGAAGAUUCUGUUUCAAAUGUGGUGUAAUUAAAAGCAUACCAUCUUUUGGUCCUACUGUAGGACUAGGAUACUACCCUACCCUUCCCCUUCCCCCUCCCCCUCCUCCUUUCUUGAGUUUCAGUUUCAUGAAUCCCAGAAUCAGCCAACGAGGCUGGAAGCCUGGCGACUGGUUUUGUGGCAGGGGGUUUUUUUUUUAAUUUUUUUUUUUUUUUUUUUUUUUUUAUUUUAAAUAUUUUUUUUUUUUUUAAAUAUANUUUAUCUUUUUUCAUAUUUUUUUUUUUUUUUUUUUUUUUAAUUAAGGUCAUAAUCAUUAUUCAUUAAUACUAGUUGAUUCUCAUUCAUAUAAUCAUAUGAUAUGAUAUAGGCCUGGCUGUAAUGCACACAACUACGCUUCCCGAAUGAUAUGUUUCAAGUGCAAGUCUUCUAGGGAAUUGGUUACCAAUGUUUCUAAUUGAUUCCUUCCUUGCAUUCCGAAUUCUGGUAAAGAUUUUUGUUUUUUUUUUUCUUAUGAAUGUGUGUGUAAUUUAUGUCAUGUUUUUCAGGUCCUAUGGUUAUGCUAUCACCUCUGUUAGGAGAGAGGGAGAGUCAGAGUUGUUGUUUUUUCGUUCAGAUCUUGUUAUAUCUUAUGUGUUUCUUUUUAUUUCUGUUGGUUGCAUUGCAAUGGAGUUUGAAUCUGGUAUGAAGUUUACAUGAAUUAAUGAAGGAUGUAAUUAUAAGUGGUUUCUUCAGUUUGAAUGUGAUGAUUAUGGAUGGAUGGAUGGAGUUAUAAGAUUUUUGUGGCAAUUUGGUUGGAUCAUAUGUGUAGUUGUAAGAAAAGUUCAUUCAACUGGGUUGUUGAGUUUCAUACACAUUCAUUUGCAAAUGGUAAUUUGACAAGGAUUUUUUUUAAUAUAGCUGAUUUUGGAAAUUUUGGUCUUCAAAUGAUUUUUUUGUUUUUUGUUUUUGUUUGUUUGUUUGUUUUUUUUUUUUUUUUUUUUUUUUUUUUUUUUUUUUUUUUUUGUUUGUUUGUUUGUAAUGGUCUAUGUUCCAAAUAAAAUGACUUUUUUUUUUGUUUCCUAAGUUAUACCUGAUUUUUGCAGUUUUAUCACAAAAAUAGUCAUUUUCUUGGUACGAGGACCAAAAUCAUUAAAAAGAGGAUCAAAAUUGCAAAAAAAAAACUCACCUCAAAAUUGCAAAAGAAAACUCACAGACCAAAAUUACAAUUCAAAAUUACAAAAAGAGGACAUACUACCUAAUUCAUUGAUGAUUAAAGUGGGACAUUGUUUAGUCGUAUUCAAUAAUAUAUAGAAGUAGGAUCGGGUGAUGACUUGAAAAAUAGUGAGGAUUGCGAUGACAAAUCUUGGAUGUUUGUUGGUUUAAAUGGGUGGUUGAGAUAAAUCAAAAUUAAUAAAUAAACAAAAAAAAAAUCGUCCAAUGACAUUUUUGUAAAUAAAAUCAAGUUAGGAUCACUUUCCAAUUAAAGGGCAAUGUCUGGGGGUCAUAACUGUCAAAGGAAAUAAUAAAAUUUUGUUGCUGAAAUGAACUCCACGCACAAAAGGUGCGUCGCCAACUCUAUGGAUCUUACUCUUGAACACGUUUCGCCACCAGGUUUACUUGGGUUUAUUUAUUUAUUUUUAUUUUUCAUGGAUCUUACUCUCGUAUGAACUUGUAUAAGUAGUCCCCGGAAAUGUAUUGACCUGAACUUCAUGAAUAUGGCUUCGUAAUCUGGUUUGGAUGGGUUCUAACGGGAAAAAAACAGGUCUUGAACAAGCUGUUGUUUCGAGUUAAAAUCUGAAAAUUUAACCUAGUUGUUUAAUUAUAUGUUUAAGGUGAAUAUCCCUAUUUAAUCUUGAUUGUUAUUCUUAGGAGUUUUGAAAGGUGACCGGGUGCGAAUGGGUUCUGGUUUCAGUUGGAGGUUUACUCUACUACUUGAGGUGAGUUUCUCACUACACUGUGUAAUGUUGUGCAUUCUUUGCUUUAGCUCGUGUGUGUUAUAGUAUGUUUAUACGGGUAACACUAGAUUGGGUUAGUAUCUAGUGGGAGUAUGUUAUUUGUUCAUGUAUUGAAGAAUAUGUAUAGAAGGGAUCGACGUAUCCGAGCAGAGGAUCGGGCAUAGCCAGUGUGUCCCAAGGGGUCGACGAAUUGAGCAAGGGGGAUCGGGCAUGACCAAUGUGUCCCAAUGGGUUCGGGUGAUCGGGCUUAUCCAAUGUGCCCCAAUGGCUCGAUGUAUCGAGCAAAGGGGAUCAGACAUAACUAAUGUGUCCUAGUAGGUGUAUGUUGUUAUUGAUUCGCUCUUUGACAUGCAUACGUGUUUGUGUGGUUGAUAUUGUUGUUAUAUGUGUAUUAAGGGUAGAGCUUGUAUGAUAUAGACAUAUAGUAUUGUGUAUGUGUGAAAUCCCCUAAGCUUUGUGCUAUUCCCUUUUCCCUUAAAAAAAUACCAUUUCAGGAUUAACAUGUACUUAGGAUGGCAGGGUGUGAUAGUACACACCGGCUCAGUACGGAUUGAUGAAGUUUUCAUAUUACCUUGGAUUAUGUUUCUUUGAUUUUGGAAUUUAUAAUUAACAAAUGGUUUUUGAAAUUUAUUGAUCUUGGGAUUAUGGUUUUAAAACUUAUUUUGAAAAAAAGUCAUGGUUUUGAAUAUACUUAUAUUGUUUUUAGAAGUUCAAAUUUAUUGUAAAUUUUAGGAUGUUACACAAUUGUAUUGGAUUGAGUGCGAAAUUUGAAAAUCCAAUUGGAUUACUUGAAGGCAAUGUUACUUUGUUAGUCUUAUUUAGCAUAAUUGUGUGCGGUUUUAUUUUUAGUUAUCGUAGUUAUAUUUGGUUAUUCGAUAGAAAGAGAUUAGAAUUGGUUGGAUAAUGGAUAACUACUGAAUUAAACCAAUAAAAAAAUAUCCAAUAGAUAGAAUCGAUCUAAUCCAACAUCCAAUUGGAUCGAUUUGGUUUGAUUUUUUUAUGAUGAAUUGGAUUGGACCGGUUGACAAAUCCAACAUCUAAUGGAUGAUUAGAUUGGAUUGGUUCCAUCGAAAUCCAUUGGAUUUGAACCGCUGAUCACCCAUAAUUUGGUUAUUAUGUUUUUUUCAAUCAGCUGCUGGAACAUGAUGGUUCUAAAAACAUUUUGCAAAAAGGUAAGAAUCAGCCAUAAAGUCACAUUACCUUUCAUUGUUGAUGGUUGUGGAAUGUGAACUACUUUUUAUUAAAUUAUAAAUUAUCUAAGGAUGAAACUGCAUUUCCUUUCUUCAUAUCACUAUAACACAUUACAUUAUUUUUGUAUGUUUUUAUAACAUCAAAUCUUUGUUGUGAAACAAGGUUUAUUAUUAACAUGAGUUGGUUUGAGCUUUAACAAAAUUUUAAGAUAAUUAACUAUUUCAUACAAAUGAUUGUUCCAUGGAUUAUAUCAUUAUUAUUAUUAUUAUUAUUAUUAUUAUUAUCAUUAUAAAUCUUAUAAUAGAAGUCACUUGUGACAUAUAUCCUUAUUAUUAUCAUUAUCAUCAUUAUAAAUCUUAUAAUAGAAGUCACUUAUGACGCGGUUCAAGAUAACUCCCUAUAUUGAAGUGCAAAUAAUAAAGAUACGAAUGAUGGAUGUUACGUAAUAAGAUUAUAAUUUGAAAUAGUAUGCUAGAAAGUAACAUGACAAACAAAUCCUGAAACCGUAAACAACAAACAUACAAAAGCCAGUUUGGUAUCAAGAACAAGGUUGGACCGAAACCGUAAACAACAAACAUACAAAAGCCAGUUUGGUCCAAAACCCGAAACCCGAUUUAGUACCCGGAACUGGACCGGACCGAACCCCGACCCGCUACACCUAAAAACGGUCCAGUUCUCGGGUAAGGUAAUUCAUGGUUUUCGGUCUUCAGGCUGGUCCGGUUCGGGUUCUGCUCGUUGCUCUAUAUUGAACCAUAUUAAUUUGAAACUACGAAAACUCUUCGGCUUAUAUUUUAAGUUUCUAUUUGGUGUGUUAGCUGAAAAAACUAGUUUUUAACUUAUAAGCUAGUUUAUCCAUAAACUAUCUCGGAUAACUUAGACAAAACUGCAAAAUUGGUCCUUGUGGUAUGCAUUUUUUCUGAGGUUUAAUCCAAACCUCGAUUUUUUUGGAUUGGUGGUCCUUUUUGGUCCCUUGAAAAAUUGAAAAGACUAAAAUGCCCUUCUGAACAGUUUAUAUGUUAUUUUCUAUUUAAUUUAAAAUUAUAUUAAUUAAAAAUAUAGGGCCCACCUCUUUCUUUCUUUCUUUCUUUCUCUCUCUCUCUCUCUCUCUCUCUAUAUAUAUAUAUAGCCAUUUGGGUUUGUCUUUGACAAACAUCUAAUAACAUCUUCAUAAAUUCAAGAACACUCAAGAACAUCUUAUGCCAUCACCACCAUUCGACCACCGUCCUCCACCACCACUGUCUGCCACCUCCAUCUCCACCUGAACUUUUUAUACCACUUUAUAUCCGCCUAAAAUCAUCCCAAAAACAAAAAUCAUACACAAAAUAUGGGUUUGUUCUUGAGUUUCCCCUUAAAAAUAAUCACUAGAUCUGAUGCCUCAUCAAGAGCUCAUGAACACACACACCCACCCACAUUCAAGAACACAUUCAUGAACCCCAUAUCUGAUGAGCACACAAACACAAACACACAUUAUAUCAGAUCUGAUGAAGGGUUUUUGGAUGAACACAUUCAAGAACAAAUUUUUGAACCCUAGAUAUAAGGAACACACGAACAAAAUCAGAUCGAGUUCAUGGGUUCUCGGGUUCUUCAUCCAAAAAACAAAGAUCUAAAACCAAAACGAACAUUUGACCCCUCAGUGGCAGAUUUCUUCGUCCCCAUCUUCCAAAAACCCAUAUUGUAUGUGUGUAUUUUGUGACAUCCCCGAUUUCACGGCCACAAAAGACCGAUUUGAUUAUGAUUAUUUAAAUCAGAAUAUUCUUUUCAAAAGAGUAAUAAUGUGGAAUUUGUUCCAAAAAAUAUGACAAUAUCAUUAUUAAAGCAUUUCCGAGGAAAUGUAUUUCAUUUAUAUUUAAAAACCUUGGGAUGUCAUGGUCAAUACAACAACAUAAGCAUAAAACGUAAUAUUACAGGCCUUACAAUAGUUUAUUAUUCUAUUGGCCUAUUCUCCUUUAAAUCUCACUCCAAAUUUAAACUCAUCACACCUAUGCUCUUACGCUGCUACCUGUGAAACAAAGAAACUGAGUGGGUUAGGCUUCGGAAAGCCUGAUGAGCACAUAGGGUUUUCAACCCACAAUAAUUAAAUUUAUUAAUUUCAUCAAUCAAUCAACUCGGUUAUCCGUUCCCGUUAUCCUCACUUUUUGUCCCUAAAACAUCUAAAUUAAGGGACUUAGCCUAAGGAUUUUUCAUCGGGGUGACAGCACUGCAUAGGGGAUUCCUCAACAAUAUAUGUUAAAAGGCAACCAUAGGGGAAUGGAGUACAUCUGGUGAACAUUUAGUUCAAAAACACCUACAUGUUUCGAGCCUACCACCGUUCCACUAGACUGUCUAGAAUAGUUUGUGGUCGUCAUCUAUACUCCGCUAGAUGACUGGAUCAUCUUAAACACUCUAGGCCUAUCAUUAUUUAUUUUAUCAUCUAUAUCAUCUACCCAUCUUUACCCUUUAUAUUUAUAGGUACAAAAUACAUACAUAGUUUAAAUCGAAUAAAACAUGUAUAUUUUGUUCAUCCAACAUACAUAUCAAGAACACAGAUAAUAUACACACAUAACACGUAAUUUUUAUUAAAUACUUCAUAUUUAUGUAUAAGAUGAAAAUAACUAUGCACUCACUUGACUAGUUAGUGGUUACUAACUAUGUUCUUAAUCGUCGUUAUAUCACACUUUCUUUAUUUAUGACUCCUUGCUCGAAAAUUCUGAACUCUAAUUUCAAAAUUUCUGGCCCUUCUUUAUAUCGAGUAUAUCUUUGGCUAUUAUUGUUUUCUAUCAUAAGAAUUGCUCAAAGGAUACCUCUAUUUAUAUAAAGGAUUUUUGAAUCGCCCGUACAAUAUCAAAAGAUUAGUCACCCAAAAAAAUUACACGUAUAACUUCAAUAAAUUAGAUGUGUACGAACAUACUUGAAAGGUUAACACAUAUUCUUCUGAUAUUGACUCUAAAUUAGAAGGUGUAUUAUUACUUCUCUUUUGUCAACACAUAUCAUUUUAAUUAAUAAAAUAUGUACGACAUGUAUUAUAUUUCUUACAGGUAUGUUGGUUUGCAAUUUACAAAUCAAUUAUAGUUACAUUUAUGGUCCAUAAGUUAUUAUUGUAUUAACACAAUAUAUCAUUCAAGUUACACUGUAGUCCCUCAGCUGCAUGGAGCCCCUAAUAAGAAUAAAGAACAAGUAAGAGACGAUCACCCACUUAUUUGUUUGGAUCGGUCCGAUCCAAUCAAAUUAAGUAAAUUCAACUUAAUUCCGGUUUACAAAACAUUGAUUCAAAUAGUUCAAACUAAAUUCAAAUUCGGUAUGAAUUAAUCAAAUUACAAUUCGAUUUUCAAGAGUCGGAAUGUUUUAAAAUAGUUAUAAUUUGAAUAUUAGCUGACUUUAUAAAAGAAAUAUAAUCAAAUGGUUAGUUGUAAAUUAAAAUUUAUAAACUGUUAAGGAAAAUAUAUUUUGAUUCAUUAGAUAAAAAAAUCUUGAAAAAAAAAUACAUAUUAAGGUUUUUAUUAGGAGAGUGUUUCUAACCUAUUUAAAAAACAAUUCAGUAAAUUAAUAAAUAAUUAAAAGUAUAUAUUAAAAAUUAAAAUAUAUAUAUCUAUUCUAAUAAAUGAAAGUGUUUUUUGUCACAUGUUACACUCUCACUCAAUUUAUCAAAUGUCAUUUUGUGGUUAUUUUGAAUUAAUUUAUUUUUCCAAAUGUCAUGUUAUGUUUUUUUUUUUAUUUUAAUAAAGUUCACAUAAUAUUUAAAUGUAAUAAUUACAAUAAAUUUAGUAAUAAAUAAAUAUAAAUUUCAUUAAUGGAUAAAAAAAUCAAUUUUAAAAGAUAAAAAAAAUCAAUUUUUAUAAUUCAUUAUUUUUUUUUUAUAAAUUCAAAGUUCUUAAAUAUUUAGACAUUUAUAAUUAAUUUUUUUGAUUAACUCAUAUAAUCCAUGAGUCUUAUAGUUUACAAAAUAUUUAUCAAAUAAAGAUAUACUUGCAUGCUGUAAGAUAAUUUUUUUUACUAAUUUACCACCCCGGCCUUUCUAACAAUAAUUUGUAUUAUAUAAAAGACAAUGUUUUCUAAAUAAAUAAAAGAUAUUAGUUUAUUUUAUAUAUAGACAACCACAUAUCAUUUCCAUAUAUAACAUGAUGGUUGUUCAGAUCCGUGAUUAUUUAAUUUAAACUAUUAAAUAUGUAUUUUAUGAGUCGGUGAUUUCUAACACUAUUAAAAAAAGGGACAUUGUAACGAAACUAAAAGGCCGAGUUUCCUGUAAGCAGCUGACUGAAGCCAGACAGUCAAGCCAAGCUGAUUCUCCCCGCUCUCGACCAAAAUCUAUUACUAUUUUCAUCAUCACCGACACCCUCCCCCUCUCUUUUCUUAACAAAUCAAUACAAAUGAUUAAUAUGCAGUAAUCAUCGAAAGUGAGAUCAAGAAUGGGCCCUUUUCUUCUCACGCCAAUGCCCAUCAAACUUCAUUGAUUAUCAAGUUCCUUCAAAUUCAAAUCAAGAACGAAAAAAUCAAUUUCUAUCAUCUGGGGCUCUUCUUUAGUCCCCUGUUUCUACUUUAAUUGGAAUACAUGGAGGCAAAUGCAGGAUUAGUUGCCGGAUCUCAUAAGAGGAACGAGUUGGUGAGAAUAAGACAUGAUUCCGAUGGAGGGGUAUGUGUUCUUUCGAUUUUUCUUGAAUACCCUUUUGGAUUUUGAGUGUUCAGAAAUCAAUUUUAUCGACUCUUGUAUAGAUCUAAGUGAUUUAACAGUAGGCUAUUUUGUUUAACCCAAGUUUGUUUAUUUUGUUUGGAUCUGAGUGAUCAGUGUGACCAGUGAGCUCAGUAAUGAGUGAUGAUACGACUUUUGACUUAUUAAUCCUACCUUUUUGUUAAAUCUUCAAAGAGGGUUUUUUGUUAAAUUUGUGGAUUUAGAUCUGAAUCAUCGAGAUGAAAGUUUCUGUUUUCAGCGCCCAUCUUGAUUAAUUUGACAAAAUUUUCAGCUUUAGCACAUGAUGAUUUCUUAAAUUAUUUAAUUUUGAUUGUGACGUUGAGUGUUGAUGAUGCAGCCGAAGCCUUUAAAGAAUAUGAAUGGACAGAUAUGUCAAAUCUGUGGCGACACCGUCGGCCUGACUGAAAACGGCGACGUUUUUGUUGCUUGCAACGAGUGCGCAUUCCCGGUUUGUAGACCCUGCUACGAGUACGAAAGAAGAGACGGAAAUCAAGCAUGCCCUCAAUGCAAAACUCGAUACAAAAGACACAAAGGUUAGUUUUUGAGUUUUUGUUCGUAUCAAGAACACAUCAAACAUAUGAUUUUUGUAAGAAUUAAAGAGAGAUACAAAUGUUUUUAGGGAGUCCCCGAGUUGACGGUGAUGAUGACGAGGACGAUGUUGAUGACCUGGAAAACGAGUUUGAUUAUGCACAAGGGAGACGACAAUGGCAAGGAGAAGAUCCGGAUCUUUCUUCAUCUUCUAGAAGACAUGAAUCACAGCAACCAGUUCCCCUUCUCACUAAUGGCCAACAAGUAAGAAAAUUACUUAUAUACCCUUUUGUUCUAAGCAUUACCUUUUUAACUAAAUUCAGAGUGUUAUUUUCAGGUAUCUGGUGAAAUCCCAAUUGCCACACCGGACAAUCUAUCUGUAAGAAGUACAUCGGGUCCAUUAGGCCCUGGUGACAAGCCUGUCCGCUAUAUGGAUCCAAGACAACCAGGUUACUUUCUUUUUUUUUUUUUUUUUUUUUAAAAAAAAAGUAUUAUUAUUAAUCAGAUAAUGUUGUAGUAAUUAUGCUAAUGAUGCCCUUUUAAUAAAUAGUUCCUGUAAGAAUUGUGGACCCAUCAAAGGAUUUAAAUUCAUAUGGGCUUGGGAAUGUGGACUGGAAGGAAAGGGUAGAAGGCUGGAAACUAAAACAAGACAAAAACAUAAUGCAAAUGGCAAACAGAUACAAUGGCGGUGAAGGGAGAGGAGGUGAGAUUGAAGGCACGGGAUCAAAUGGAGAAGAAUUGCAACUGUAAGUAGUAAACUAAAGGGUACUUUAGGAAUAUCAUAUUUGUCGACUUAUGAUUUGACUUUUUUUUUUUUUUUUUUUUUUUUUUUUUUUUANUUUGUUUUGUUUUUUUUUUUUUUUUUUUUUUUUUUUUUUUUUUUUUUUUUAAAUAUAUAUAGGGUUGAUGAUCCAAGACAAUUAAUGAGCCGUGUGGUGCCUAUUUCAUCUUCUCAUUUGACUCCAUAUCGAGUUGUGAUUAUAUUGCGAUUGAUUAUUUUGGGAUUUUUCUUGCAAUAUCGGUUGACUCAUCCUGUUAAUGAUGCGUAUCCUUUGUGGCUUGUAUCUGUUAUUUGUGAGGUGUGGUUUGCUUUUUCUUGGCUUCUUGAUCAAUUUCCAAAAUGGUCCCCCGUUGAACGUGAGACCUUCCUUGAUCGCCUUGCAUUGAGGUAAGUAAGUAAUGGGAUUUAGAUUUUGGGCUAAUUGCAAGAAAUAGCAAUGUACUUUCAUUUGUAGUCAUCAUCAUGGGCAAUUAGGUAAUUUUAGCUUAAACAAUGAAAAUUUGUUGUUUUGUAGGUUUGAUAGGGAAGGAGAGCCUUCACAAUUGGCACCUAUAGAUGUCUUUGUGAGUACAGUGGAUCCAUUAAAAGAGCCUCCUCUCAUCACUGCAAACACAGUGUUGUCUAUUCUUGCUGUGGAGUAUCCUGUUGACAAAGUCUCCUGCUAUGUAUCUGAUGAUGGAUCUGCUAUGCUUACAUUUGAGUCUCUUUCUGAGACAGCAGAGUUUGCAAAAAAGUGGGUCCCAUUCUGCAAGAAGCAUAGCAUCGAGCCCAGAGCCCCUGAGUUUUAUUUUGCUCAAAAGAUAGAUUACUUGAAGGACAAGAUCCAGCCUUCUUUCGUCAAAGAACGUAGAGCAAUGAAGGUGAGUUUUACCACUUUUAUGUUUUAUGUUUUAUGAUUUCUUCCAGUGUUUUACCAAAUACCUAAAACACCCUUUUAUGGCAGAGAGAAUACGAAGAAUUCAAAGUUCGGGUCAAUGCACUUGUAGCAAAAGCACAAAAGAUGCCGGAAGAAGGCUGGUCUAUGCAGGAUGGAACUCCUUGGCCUGGAAACAACCCCCGUGAUCAUCCUGGAAUGAUUCAGGUAUUUGAAUGAUUGUUUGGUUGCUGAAAAUUUGUAUAUCAACAGUUGAUUGUUGACUUCUCUUGUUUAUGAUGAUUGGAAUUGGAUAGGUGUUCUUGGGGCACAGUGGAGGUUGCGAUACAGAUGGAAAUGAGCUACCUCGUCUUGUUUACGUGUCCCGUGAAAAACGUCCUGGGUUUCAACAUCACAAGAAAGCCGGUGCCAUGAAUGCUUUGGUAUGGAUCUCUUAAAAAAACAUGGAAAUUUUUUGUGUUUAUUGGUUGUUUAUGGAUGCGAUGCAAUUUGGUGUUACAGAUUAGGGUUUCGGCGGUUUUGACGAAUGGCGCGUACCUUUUGAACGUCGAUUGUGAUCACUACUUCAACAACAGCAAAGCUCUAAAAGAAGCCAUGUGUUUCAUGAUGGAUCCUGCCUAUGGAAAGAAGACAUGCUAUGUUCAAUUCCCACAGAGAUUCGACGGGAUUGAUUUACACGAUCGAUAUGCUAAUCGCAAUAUCGUCUUCUUCGAUGUGCUUUUCUGAACUUUACAGAGUCAAACUUAAAAAAAAAAAUUCAAAUUCAAAUUCCGAUCUUGUUGGGAUUUCAAAAAUCAAAAAUUGACAUUUCUAUAUAUAUAUAUUUUGUACAGAUUAACUUGAAAGGGCUGGAUGGGAUUCAGGGGCCGGUUUACGUGGGAACUGGUUGCUGUUUCAAUCGACGAGCUCUGUAUGGAUACGACCCUGUUUUAACAGAGGCUGAUUUAGAACCAAAUAUCAUUGUGAAAAGCUGUUGUGGUUCACGAAAGAAGUCGAGAAACGUUAACAAGAAGUACGUGGAUAAAAAAGCAGUGAUGAAAAGAACGGAAUCCAACACUCCAAUUUUAAACAUGGAUGAUAUCGAUGAGGGUGUUGAAGGUUUGAUUUUGAGUCUUUCACUUUAGUUUGUGGGUCCAGUGAAUCAUUAAUGUUGACUAAAUUCUUUUGUUUUUGAAAGGGUAUGAUGAAGAUAGAUCGUUACUAAUAUCGCAAAAGAGCUUAGAGAAGCGAUUUGGUCAAUCUCCUGUAUUUGUUGCUGCAACUUUCAUGGAGAUGGGAGGAAUUCCCCCCACUACCAAUCCAGCUACCCUUUUGAAGGAAGCAAUACAUGUUAUUAGCUGUGGUUAUGAGGAUAAAACCGAGUGGGGUAAAGAGGUAAUUUUACCCUUCUAGCUUCCGAUUCUUGUUAUACAUGGUCAUCGGAAAAACAAUAAUCUUCAUGUUAUUUUGUUUUGUGUACAAAUGCAAGCAGAUUGGAUGGAUUUAUGGGUCUGUGACAGAAGAUAUUUUAACUGGAUUCAAGAUGCACACAAGAGGAUGGAUCUCAAUAUAUUGCAUGCCACAACGUCCGGCUUUCAAGGGUUCUGCUCCGAUCAAUCUUUCCGAUCGUCUGAACCAGGUCCUCCGGUGGGCUUUAGGUUCAAUCGAGAUUUUACUCAGUAGACAUUGCCCCAUCUGGUAUGGGUAUAAUGGUAAAUUAAAACUCCUGGAGAGGCUCGCAUACAUAAACACCAUCGUCUAUCCCCUCACCUCCAUCCCUCUUCUAGCCUACUGUGUACUUCCGGCCGUCUGCCUUCUCACCGGAAAAUUCAUCAUCCCCGAGGUACGUUAAUCAUGCUUUAUGAGUUGUACGAUAUGCAUGAAUGUUUGUACAUGUUGAAAAUUGGGGGUUUUGCAACAGAUAAGCAACUAUGCUAGUAUGUGGUUUAUUCUUCUCUUUAUCUCCAUCGCUGCAACCGGAAUCUUGGAGCUCCGGUGGAGUGGCGUGAGUAUUGAAGACUGGUGGAGAAACGAACAGUUUUGGGUGAUAGGAGGCACGUCCGCUCAUCUAUUCGCCGUCUUCCAAGGUCUUCUCAAAGUUCUCGCCGGAAUCGACACCAAUUUCACCGUCACAUCCAAGGCAAACGACGAAGACGGUGAUUUUGCAGAACUCUAUAUAUUCAAAUGGACGGCGCUCCUCAUCCCACCCACCAGUGUUCUGAUCGUAAACCUAAUCGGCAUAGUUUCCGGCGUUUCAUCUGCAAUCAACAGCGGUUACCAGUCGUGGGGCCCACUUUUUGGGAAACUGUUUUUUGCAAUCUGGGUUAUCGUCCAUUUAUACCCGUUUCUCAAAGGUCUGUUGGGUCGGCAAAAUCGAACCCCCACCAUUGUUAUCGUGUGGUCGAUUCUGCUUGCUUCGAUUUUCUCCCUUUUGUGGGUUCGUAUCGACCCCUUUACCACAGACGAUACUCUUGAUGCAGUUAAAGGACAAUGCGGGAUCGAUUGUUAGGUAUAUAUAUAUAAAGUUUCUGAUUUGCAAAUUUGUGUAAGCCGUGAUGUGAUGCGAUGUGAUGUGUACGAAUGAUAUAAUUAUUUGAUUUAUUGUUGUUAUCCCACGAAUUCAAUGAAAAAUUUAAGUAUAACCUUAUCUUAAUAUGUCGGUUCAUUACAUUCAAUUAAGUUGAGUUGUAUGCAAAUUUCUUGUUAUUAUACAGUAUAUUACAAAAUUCAAACACUAUCUUCUUCAUAUUUAAUUUCAUGAAUUUAGUCUUCAACAAGUACAUAUAUAUAAAACAAAACAUGAAAUUCCAUACACACCAAGGUUCAUGUCAGAUCCUGAAACAAAAGAUUAAAGAAAAUAAAGUUAGAUGGUUGUAAAUUGUAACCUAAUGAAAUAUAAGAAAAGUUGGGGUUUUACUUACUCAAUAUAUUCAACGUUGAUUUUCUCCCUUUGAGACUUGGAAAUGGCAGAAAAAGCAUCAUUUGACAAAACAAUAGUCGAAGGACACGGCCUUUUGGAACAAAAAUCUACCACCUUAACAUCAAUGGUACCAUCUCUACAUGGUUUAUUAUUUCCACUCAAACACUUGAGUCUGUAUCGCCUACCACAUGCUGCACCGUUAUCCCAUAGUCCUUCGCUCACUGACACAAAUAAGUUCCCCAAUGGGAAUUGAUCUGCUCGGUUGCCAUUGCACCUUGUGGCUACAUUAAAAAUACAUAUAAAAAAAAAUACUUCAAUUUAACUAUUAUUUAUUUAUUUAUUUACAAUGUCAAAAACAUAAUAAUUAGAAUCAUAUUUAAACUUACGUGUAUAAGGAGGCUCAUAGGAUGAGGCAGUGCCAAUUUCACUCAAACCACACUUGAUGUUAUUGAAGAUUAACAAUAAAAAUAAAUUCACAAUCACUCCAAUUCCCAUCGCUACAAAUUCCCUUUUCUUUUUUCUCUCUCUCUGUCAAAUACUAUGGUAGUAAGAUGCACCCCCUUGGAUUAUAUAUAGAUAUCGUAUGGAUUUAUUUAAAAGAUAUAGGUAUAGUUUGAGAUAUAUUGUCACGUGUUUUUUAAUAGAAAUGUGCUUAGCAUGUAUAUAGAAUGAAUGAAAAGUUGGUGAUCAAAUUGGAUAAACUAUAGAUGUUUAAUGUGAUAUAUAUCUACCUUUGCGCAUGAAAAAUGGAUUUAAUAGGUUUUGGUCAAUUGUGAUAUAAAGUUCUUGAUGCCUACCACUAAUUAGUUUAAGGAAAGAUGGUUUCUAACGUAAACAUAAAACAACUUUUCUAUCGUCUCUUUUAAACAGAAAAAAUAGUCAAUUUUGACAAUGGCACAAAAAGGCAAUGGAAAAGCAUAUGUAAGGAUUAUUAGAUAAAACGAUAGUGUUUUAAUGGAGAAAAAUUAUAUUUUCGGUGAAUUUUUUUUAGUUGAUAAACCCAUUGUUGGUGUCGAAUCUAUGAAAUUAUUUUGGCUUAUACGUCGGCUGACCGAUAUGAUUACCAAAGAAAGGUGCAUCCAGUACAAUCACCACUAACUAAAACCAAUGGCUCUAAACUGUUCGCAAUUUUUUAAGGAAGGGAAAUUCAUAUUUGAAUUCGUCACUACAAAGUGUUACAUGAUUCGUUAUUAAUAAAUAUUUUAUAUUACCUUUUAUCAUAUAAAUAAACAAUCCAAAUUUUAUUUUUAGAUGCAUAUUUCACAAAGCUUUUGUGUUUUUUUCGGUUCAAGUUUGUGUUAAAGUAAUUCAAUAUAGAUGGAGAAUGUCGUUCAAUAAAAGUAGUUUGUGUUAAAGUAAUUCUAUACAGAUGGAAAAUGAUGUUCAAUAAAAGUUUAGAAUAUCAGAUAAUCAAAAUUAGUUUGUCGAUAAGAUUUAUUAUUUUAAAAGAUGGGAUAUAUAUACUAAACUCUCAAUAUUUUUAACGAUUCAACAAAAAAGUCUUAAAUUUUAUUUUUUUAGAGUAAAAUCCUAACUAGCGGCAGUUUUUGACAUGUUUACCAUUUUUUGCCAGUUAGCCAGUAAUUAUGGUUUUACUAUAAAAAAAUAAAAUUUAUGACUUUCUUUUUCAAAUCGUGAAUUAAGACAUUACUGUAAAAAAAAAUUAAAGUUUAGGACUUUCUUAUCAAAUCGUUAAAAAUAUAGGGACUUUAGUGUAUAUAUCCAUUUUUUUGUUAGAAAUUUAAUGUCAUUAUAAUCUUUAAGUAUAAGAGUUAUUGAAAUCUGACCAAUAUGCUCUGGUCAACUAGAUUCUAUUAAAAUCAUUAACGUUUGAUUCUUGUUAAAUAGUUUUUUUUUAAUCUCAACAAAUCGACAUUGAAAAAAAUAAAGAUAAUCAAGAAAGAAAGAACCACGAUUGUGUUGAAUUUUUGCAUAAUGAUAAUCAAGAAAGAAAGAACCAGUAUCGUGUUGAGUUUUUUGCAAUCCUAAAAAUGGAGAAUUAAGAAACCGGAAAAGAAGAAAUUGUCCUUCUUACACAUUCUCCACAUUCACACAUUUUUUACCGGACAUGUGUUGUUUGUGUUUGUUGAAUUUGUUCCUCUUUUCAGUUCAAGAUUUGACGGCGAACCAAGAAAAAAGUUUUACAAGUCUUCUUACCCUCUAUCGUUCUCUCUUUUGCAUCAGUUUCCCAGAUUGUGAUCGUAGCAAAGUAAGAUGAUGAUGGUAAGAAAAAACAAUGGUGUUGCAAUAAAAAUCACAAUUAAAAGUUCUUGGGAUAGGAAUUAGGUCUCAUGAGACUGAUAAAAUUAUUUGUUUCUAGGGAAACCAAACCUAUACACUAAAGUCUCAAUAUUUUUAACGAUUUAACAAAAAAGUCAUAAACUUUAUUUUUUUGACAGUAAAACCCUAAUUACCGGCUAACCGGCAAAAAAGAGUAAAUGUUUCAAAAACUGUCGAUAAUUAGGAUUUUACUGUCAAUUGAUUUUAAUAUUUUCAUGCAAAAGACAACUGUAUUACGAAAGAAAUAACUGUUAACCGUAACUACAAUAAGGUAUUAAAGUUAUAGAAGUUUCAAUCCUAAUAACGCAUAAUUUUCACUUUUGGUUUAAUAUGUUUAUAUUAUUUAUCUAAAAAACAAAAUCAUAAUAAAUAUAUUUUGAUUAAAUGUCACAGAAAAACCACGCCCAUGUCAAUUUUGAUUGUUACAAAAUGACAAUUUUUUUGAAAAGAGAUAUCAUACCGUAUUAAUAAGGUGGUGUUUGUUUUUUUUUCAAAAGCUCUUCUAGACCUUUUAUGUCUGCAUCGCGUAGACGACCCACAAACUUUUAGUCCUAUAGACUGUUUGUUUUUUAGAAGACCGUACGCAUAAAAAAAUCUGUCCAUCCUCUUCUUGACGUAGAUGUGAACAUAUGUCUUCUAGUCUCUUUCUUAAUCUUUCCACUAAUCUUAAGAGACAAUAAAAAAGCGCAAAAAGAAUAAAAAAAUGAAAAAAAAAACCUAUCAAACCUCAUUCGUGCACCUUUUUUUUUAAUUCAUUUGCCAUGUAAACACUUUGUAAAUAUAUUAUUUUAAUGAUUUUAGCUUUAUAAACUUUAUUUGGUCAAAUAAUUUUUUGGUAUUCAUAUUUUAAAAAACUUUAUGCAUAUUUAUCCGAUGACUUUUUAUAACAGUAAUUAAAAAAGUUAAAUAUACUACAAAACUUAUGAAAGUAUUUUACGAACGUGUUUUUUUUCUUCAUAAAAUGGACAAUUAAUUUGUUAUAUAUAUAUAUAUAUGCUUAUUAUAUGAUAACUAGGCUCGUGCGUGUGAACAAGUCUCCGUUUGCCACCUAGCACGGUAUCUNNNNNNNNNNNNNNNNNNNNNNNNNNNNNNNNNNNNNNNNNNNNNNNNNNNNNNNNNNNNNNNNNNNNNNNNNNNNNNNNNNNNNNNNNNNNNNNNNNNNNNNNNNNNNNNNNNNNAUAUAUAUAUAUAUAUUGAAAAUAAGGUGGUUGUAUUAUUAAAUUACAAUGUUUUUAUAUAAGAAAUAUUGAAAAAGUCUUUUAAAUUAAAAAAAAAAUCAAUUUAUUUAGGUUUUAAUUUAUUUUAGCAGUUUGUAGAUUUUAAAAAACAAACAGUCUUCUUGCAGACUGCAGACGUUUGGUCCAUAUCUUCUACUGCAGAUGUCGUCCGCAGACUGCAGACAUUUUGCUUCUGAAAAACAAACACCAUCUAAGUUUCAAACGCAUAAACAUUUAUUAACAAAAGACAUGUAAACGUGGAUUAUGAACUAAUGACAUAGAUAUACGAUAAGUACUAUAAAGAGGAAAAAGCAUAGUUAAGAUUGACCCAAAUUGUAAUGAUUAUAGUCUUGCUAAUGUAAAUAUUUAAUUAGUUUUUCUUGAUAAUCAUGAUAAAUGAUACUUUUUGACUCAUGAGUGAUGAAUAAACAAUAGUAUAUAUAGAUUUACUAAGACGAAAAAAGACAUGAGUUUUAAUGAUAGAAUAUUAUUGAAAAAAUAAUAAAGAAUAUGAUCAACUUUAAAUUAGUGCCCGGAUAAAAUCGAAGUUUUAGAAAGUGCUGAUUAGUGGCGAUCCUUCAUUUUUUUAUAACUUUAUUUCAAAUUAAUGGUAAUCAUGUAUAAUAAUUAAUAAACUUACAAUACGCUAAUAUACAUUACAAUCAUUUUCAUCCUAUGUGAAAAUAAUUUUUGACAUAUUAUUCGUUUUCAAAUUAUAUAGAUGCAUAGGCAAUAAUAUGUCUUUUAUGUGAAAUAAUGUGUGUUUUUUUUAUGUGAAAACAUGUUUUUUAUAUAUAAAAAUAUAUUUUCACAUAAAAAAAACCUGUUAUGCAAAAAACCUUUUGGACCAAAUUUAUAUAGAAACAUAUUUUUCACAUAUAAAAACCUUUUUAUAACAAAAAUGUUUUGUAAAAAAGGUUUUUAGUAUAAAUAUGAUUUUAUAAAGCAAAAAUAACAUAUUUCGAAACAAAAUUUUGGAAAAAUAUAUGUAAAAAAAACAAAAUUUAAGAUGAAAUUGUAACAAAAUUUUAAAAUAGGGACAAAAAUAUAAAAAUUGGACCAAAUUUAUAACAAAAUUUAAAAUCUGAGAAAAAAAUGUAAAUUUUAAAACUGGGAUGACCUUAUAGCCGGGAAAAAUGAUGAAAAUGAAUAUAUUUACCUGUAUUCGUAUCUUAAUUAAAAAAAUAAUAAUUUAAAUACUUAAUUGAAUAUAAGGUUAAAAAUAUAAACACUUUAUAGAUUUUCCUAUACUAAAUACUAUAGCAAAAUAUGUGGAAUUUGGUAUUUAGUAACUUUGGUCUCACUUUUGUUAAAUUUCUAUUUUCUAUCAUUUUACUUUUUGAAAAUUCGUUUUUACCUCUCGAUUUUUCUACUUAUUAACUUUGGUCCAUCACUUUUGUUAAGUUCUCAAAUUUUCAUCCUUUUUACUUUUGAAAUUGUUGCUUUUACCCCCUUUAACUUUCAACUUUCUAGAUACUCAACUCACUCAGCAUGAAGUAUAAGAAAAAAGAGAAGAGAGAGAGAGAGAGAGAGAGAGGAAGCAGCGGGCUGAAGAACCCACAUGAGACGUCUUCUGGCGGUAACCACCAAGGCGUGGAUUUGUUACCCUAGCCGUCGCACGACUCCGUGCACCCUUGGAGAGUAAUCAGUGUUAAAACACUAAGUUGCUUGAAAUAAGGAAUUUGAAGUUAAAUUGAAAAUUUAAAUGUAGAUACGAAAACACAUCAUCUUGCUAACUUGACAACUUAACGCCAUCUUAAGUGGAUACCAUAGAAUGACCCACGAGUGGCGAAUUUAAAAAAAGAAUCACAUGGUUCCUAAUUAAGUGAAGCCAAUAAAAAAAAUCAACAAUACUUUUGGAGUCGGGUCAGGUCGGCUCAUGUACCUUAAAAGAACUGAACAAGUUCAAUCGGCUCAUGUACCUUGUAACGACCCGUCUCUGGUAUGUUGUUUCCAUGUUAUUUAUUUAGAAGUUUUCAAGAGGGACUCGGGGAGUCUAUAGCCCGACUCGUCGAGUAGAGACGGGAUUUCGAGCACGUGUAAGUCGCCGACUCAACGAGUCCAUAUUCGAGACUCGGCGAGUCCGCCUGCUAGGAAGAAACCCUAAAUCCCCGGGUUUGCUCACUAUUUAAGCAAUGUUAUGUGCCCCAAACUCGCCUCCUUCACCCUCAGAGAGCUUGAGAGAAACCCUAAACCAUUCCUUGUAUGACUAAAGUGUUUUGUGUGGAUUCUUGAAGGAAAAAGAAGAAAGGACCCAAAAAGAGGAAGUGUAGAGCAAAGAUCCAAGGCCAAAGUCAGAGUUCAUUGAGGUAUGUCUCGGAAUUAUUCUGUUUUGUGCUUAAAACCUCCAUUAGAACACCUCUAAGGCUAGUUUAAUGUAUUUUCCAAGCUUUAUAGUUGUAUGGAUGCCUUGUUGGGUCGAGAUAUCCCUAGAUCUGUUCAUUUAGGAGUUUUAGAGCCCUGAUCUAGUGCCUUUUCGAAGUUUCUUUGCUUGAGAACCCUAGAUCUAGCCUUUAUUAUGCUUUUUGAGCCUUUUAAUCUUCAUGGGUGCAUAUGGGCACGUAAAGAUAGAAUCUUUACGUGUUAAUCGAGCUUAGGGAGCCCAGAUCUAUAAGUUUUAUGCGUUGGAUUCAAGCAGAAUCGAGUUUAUAGUAGCUGCAUGCAUGCGACUCGGCGAGUCGUUCUUCCGACUCGGUGAGUCGAGUCGUGAGUCCCCGAUUUUUCCUCUUUUGAGUAAUGCCGAGUGGGGACCAGUGAGUAGUAGAGUGGACUUAGUGAGCUGGAGGUCAGACUCAGUAAUGGAGGGACUCGACGAGUUGUUCAUACAACUCGGCGAGUCCAAGGCAAUCUUCUUAGCUCAAGAACAACUCGUCGAGUUGUUCAUACGACUCGGCGAGUCGGAUGCAGAUAGCUUGAGUUCUAGAAUCGAAAGGAAACUCGUCGAGUUUAUGCCAUACUCGACGAGUAGCAGCGAGUAGGGUUGAGAAGUGAGAAUAGGGACUAGGCGAGUUGGCGGCCCAACUCGGCGAGUCAGGUCAACUGUAGGUUGACUUUGACCAGGAGAGUUGACUUUGACCAGGGGUAAAAGAAUCAUUUUACCCCAAUACAGUGAUUAGUAUUUGAUUGAGUGUGUUUAUGGAAUUGUAGCCGGAGAGAUACCAGAGCAGCAGCAGAUAGCUUCCAGAGCCAUACAUUCAGCAGCCAGUUUACGAGGUGAGUUUCCUACCAGUAGGAACGGGUCUACGACAACAAUGCCGGCCCGUUUAGCUAGCAGUUAGUUCCGGACUUCGGUCCGAAGCAGUAGUUCAAGGUGCUUGAUGUUGUGUUUCGGGCAUGUCUAUGUGUUAUGUUAGCAGAUACGUGUUUAUGUUAUGCUAUGUUCAGACAGUUCCGGAUUUCGGUCCGAUGCAGCUAGUUCCGGACUCCGGUCCGAUGCAGGGGACAAGGUCCCAGUCAGUUCCGGAUUUCGGUCCGAUGCAGACAGUUUCGGACUUCGGUCCGAUGCAGUCAAUUCCAGACUUCGGUCCGAUGCAGUGGGCAAGGCCCAGUAUGUGCUUUAUUUGUUAUUGUGUGGUAUGCGGUAGUUUAGGGGAGCUCACUAAGCUUCGUGCUUACAGUUUCAGUUUUGGUUUCAGGUACUUCCGCAAGUAAAGGGAAGAACUCGGGAUGAUGCAUCGCACACACCACAACUUCAGUUUUUGUCGUGGGAGUUGAUUCAGUUUCUUAGAUAUGUUUUGAUACUGUUGUGACACAUUUUUUCUCACAGUAUUUUAUUAUGUGAUACUCAGUUUUAUGAUCUUUGUUAUAAUAUAAAUGAAAUUAUCGGGUCGUAUUUUUGGGAUGUUUCAAGUACCUUGUGCCACCGAUUAAAAAAAUUUUAAAAACCGAUUGAAAUAUAACUGAAAAAGACAUACAGCUUAACGAAAAACUAGUUGAUUAUUAGUCCAUUGAUAAAGCGGCGAACGCAGAGUGAGAGUCUUUGGCAUGUGGGCUUUCAUUUUAUUAGAACAACUUGUUUAUUUAUUAAUAUUUUGAGAGUGCCGAUUAAGAGUAGUUAACUUUUUAUUAUCAAUCUCAUAAUUUAAAAUAACAAAUUGUCCCUAAUAACUUAUAUUUUUCUCUUUUUAAAGUGGUUUUUUUUUUUAAAAAUAAAAAUAAAAAUAAACUCAAUGUAGGUUCUCUAUUUUUUUAAGACUAAAUUACACAGAUGGUCCCUGUGGUUGGCACGAGAGACCAAAGAUAGUCCUUAUGAGGAAUUUUGGACUUGUAUGGUCCCCGUGGUUCCAAAUUGUUGCACGAAGAGUCCUUAUGACAUACUCCGUUUAAUUGUUGUCGUUUAUUUAAAUCACGUAACCCUCACACGAGGGUAUUUUGGUCUUUUGCUUAUCCCUUCUCUCUCUCAUAUCUUUAUAUGAUCUGCAAAAGAUUUCCCUUCCCUAUAAAAAUUAAACCCCCAUCACUUCCUUCAUUAUUUUUCGUCUCCUCUAUUCUCUCUUCUCUCUUCUCUCUGCUGUGUCUUUCUAAGAAACUUUGCUUAAGAAUGGUAAAUUGUUUUUGUGGAACGCAAGCGGUGAUAGUGACAUCAUGGAUGGAUCUCAACCCAGGUUGUAUGUUUUGGAAAUGUCCUAGCAGUUGCGGUUUCAUUGCCUGGUUUGAUGAGCCGAUGUGUCGAAGGGUUGUGGCUGUCAUUCCAGGUUUGCUAAGAUCCAUGAACAAGCUUCAAGAAUCUCUGCUGCAAGCAAGUUUUGAAGCAAAAAAAGUGAAGAUGAUGCUAGUUUUUAGUUGGGUUUUCUUUUUCAUGUAUGUGUAUAAAAGAUGCUAAUAGUAUUAGUCUGGAGAUGAUGGUUCUUUUGCUUGUGGGUAGAUGAUGGUUCUUUUGCUUGUGGUUAGAAUCAGAUAAUAGUAUUAAUUUGAAGAUGAUUUCGUUUUGUUUGUUUGUGAUGCAAGAAAUGUUCGUAUGUAUGAAUGGAAUGCUUUUUAUUUGGGAAACUUUUAGUCUGCUACCAUUGUAAAAUAUUGGUCAGGAACUUAAUGAGUGUAAAAUAUUGGUCUGCAACUUAAUGAACCGUGCAGAUCCAUUAAAGUAUAAAAUAUGAAAGUGAAAGGUUUUUGUAGGCUUUAGACCAUUGUAGAGCCAUAACAACAUUAGAAAUGUUCAAAAAUAAAAUGCAAACUUUUGCAUAGUCAUAAAGUUCAUUACAUAACCUUAAAGUGCAAAGUCAUAAUACCAAAAAAAUAUCAAAAGAGCUUGCAGACUAAUGUAUCAUAACCAAAAGAACCAUCUUAGUCUAGCACCCUGUGUGAACCAUAAUACCAACAAAAGAUAAAGACACACAAUAACCAACUUAGUCUGACCUUUCUAAGGUACCAAAACAAACAACACAAAAGACCUUUCUAAGGUUCCAUAACAAACAACACAAAAGACAACAAAUCAAACUUUUUCCUUCAUUUUGGAUUUAUCCUUAAGUUUGGUUUUCUCCUUCAUUUUGGGUUUCUCCUUUUUUCCAUCUCCCUGCUUCUUUGCCUUGCUAAGCUUCUUGCCCCCUGCCACCACAUUUCUAACUUCAGUUUGUCCCCCUUGUCCCUUGCAACUCCUAGAGUUGUGACCCUUGUUAUUGCAUUUGCUACAAGUAACUGUAAGGAACUUCUUGGUCAAACUUUUACCUUGAUUAUUUGGUUCUUCAGUUUGAGCUCUCUUUCUCUUCUUUUUUGGUCUCCCCACCUGCAUAAUUAAUAAAUUAUAAAACAGUAUAAACGUAUACUAACUUGUAAAUUGAAAAUUAUUUACCUGUUUAGUAUGCUUAGGAGGUGUUAGUGUUAUGGGGAAAUCUGACUUUGGCCACAUACUUCUUCCAUUGAUAGGUUGAACUUUGUACUUGUACAUUUCAUUCCAUGUGCUUAACCUAUAACAUGGAUGUACCCACUCCUCAAGAGGUGGGACAUUUUUUCCCAGUGCCUGCAACUACAAUUCCUGUCCCUCCAAUUAACCACAAAUUGUUCCCCCAUUGUCCCAGUAACUUGAGUCUUAUCAGCACCAUUAAAUAUGCAAGUGUAUUGAGAAGCAUCUUUCUUAACUCCAUCUAAAAGUUUUGUGGCUGGGGGGGGGAGAGGGGCNUUAUCUAUCACAUUUUGCACAAUACAAAUUCGUUUCAUUAAGUAUUCCCUAAUAUAUUCUAAACAUGUAAUUAUAGGUUUGUCUCGAGCAUCUAACAACUUUGAGAUGAAAACUUCACAUAAAUUAUUCAACAAAAUAUCUGUAUGUGCUCUUCCUGUACAAUGCAACAAAAUAUCUUAUAAGAAUCUGUCAAAGUGUAAAUCUUCCUUGAAUCUGUCAAAGUGUCUAACUGUUGUUGCUGUUGCACAUUCCCAUAAAUGAUCUCUGUGCUCCUUCCCCCUCCAUUGUAGCUUCAUGUUUUCGUGAAUAUGUCUUAAACAGAACCUGUGUUCAGCGCUAGGUAAUAGGUUGGCAAUGGCAGAUAAAAUCCCCUAAUUAACAAGUAACAAAAAUGUUAUUUUCUAAAUGUAGUAGACAAAAUUACAAAGAUGUCAUGAACAAGUAUCAUAAGAAGAUUAACCUUUUGCCUGUCAGAAAUAAAUGUGAAGUUUGAAUUUGUAGAGAGCUCCAAAUCUUCACCUAGACACUCUAGAAACCAACUCCAUGAGCUUUUGUUCUCGGCUUCAACUAUGGCAUAUGCUAGUGGGUAGAUCCGAUUAUUGGAAUCAAGACCCACAACAGUGAGAACCUAUCCAGUGUAAGGUCCCUUCAUGAAAGCCCCAUCGAAACCUAAAAAAUCUCUUAAACCUGCCUUAAAACCCAGUUUUAAUGCACCUAAACAGACAUAAAUUCUCUUAAACAUCCUAGUUUCCAAGUCUGCAUUUGGUUCACUGUAUACAUCAAUCUUCACAAUUGUUCCUGGGUUGCACUGUUGUAAUUCUAAUACGUAAUCCCUGAGAAGGCUGUAUUGCUUUUGAUAAUCUCCAUAAACAUGUUUCUGUGCAAGUUGUUUAGCCCUAAAGACCUUCAUUCUUGACAUCCCCACCUCGUAUAUCUUUUGUAACUCUACACACAAAGCUUUGACUGGGAUAGUUGGGUUUCCUUCCACUUCUUGAAGAAUGAUGGUUGUAAGAAACUUAGGCCUCAUUUGAUAGUUGCCGAUUGAGAAAGUGCUGACUGAGAAAGGUCUGUCUGGGUAAGAAAUCCUGAUUGGGUAAGAAAUCCUGUUGUUUGAUUGUACAUCUGACUGAAUGUGCUGAGUGAUGAAAAAUGACCAUUUUACCCUGCUGUUAUAUAUAUAUAUUGAUGGAUUAAAUUGCUGAAUAAUUAUAAAAACAUACAUAUUGUCAUACAAAAUGUAAAUUACACACAAAUAAAAAAUGUCAUACAAAAUGUAAAUUAAACAUAAAUCAUUUAAUAUCCAAAUAAAAACAUAAUGAAAUUUAAAAUAACAUAAUAAUUUAAUGUAAAGUAGGUGAAAGUAGUCGAUUUGCAAUCUGAUCACGCAAAACACGCAUAUAUUCAACGGCUUCUGGACCCCAUUCUAUGCCUUGUAUGUUUUCUCUAUCAAUUCCCCCACCUUGGACGUCAGGAGUAACCAUAGUGUCCUCCUCAAAAUUUCUAAACAAGUCAUCUUCUAUAUUGUAUUUCCUUAUAAAAUUAUGGACCGCGACACAAGCAAUGACUAUGUCUCUUUGCACUGUAAAAGGAUAAGGAGCCAUUUGUUUUAAGAUUGGGAAUCUCGCCUUCAAUACACCAUAAGCACGCUCAAUAACAUUUCUAAGUUGUGCAUGAGCAUGAUUGAACCUUUCUUCUCUAGUUAAAGGUCUGCCUCUUCGAAAAUCGGCUAACCAAUACCUAGUAUUGCGGUAUGGAGCCAUAAACCCACGAGUGUUUGUAUAUGCGGCAUCACAAAGGUAAUAUUUAUCUGCAAACGAAUGUGACAUAUUAUAUAAUGACACAUAUUAUAUAAAGAAGAUAGAUAAUAAAAAUUAUAUAAAGAUUACAAACCUGGUGGAGGAAAUGGAAAUCCAGAAGUCGAAUUGAAUGCAACUUCUUUCAAAACUCUUGAAUCAUGUGCUAUACCCUCCCAUCCAGCCCAAACAAAGGUGAAUAUCAUAUCAAAAUCACAAAUUCCUAUUACAUUUUGAAAACAUUCUCCUUUUCCUCUUCCUCAAUAACGAGUUUGUUGAUCAACAGGUACAACCGCACGUACAAGAGUUCCAUCUAAUGCACCAAUUGCUCCGGAAAAAAUAUUUUUUAACCGUCUAUGUCGUUCUGAGUUAUGUCUUGUUGGGUUAGGAGUUGUUGGUACUAUAAUUUCUUUUGCAAAACACAUCAUUGCUGUUAGGACCUCGUGAAAACAUUGAUGAAUCGUUUGUGUGGAGUGAUGAAAUCUUCCCUUAACCGCGCGAAAACGUUCAUUAUGUCCUAUAACAUGUAAGAAGAUAGCCAUCUUCUCUUCAAUGCUUAUUGUCCUACUAGCUUGCAACCAAUUUUUUUGGGUAAAAUGGUUGCAUAGUAAUGCAAAUGCCUCUUGUGUAAGACGCAUCAUAUCGAAACAUUGUGUAGGGUCUCCGUAUAUCAAAUCUUAUGUAUACGCAUACCCGCUUGAAUCGUUAUCUCUAAUUCUAAGAAUUCUGAUUAGUCUGCGCCGGUUUGACCUCAACCAAUAAAACACAAGUAAAAGAAAAGCUACAACUUCACCAUCAGAAACCAUACUUGAUCUAUUACAAACAAUUAGGUAAUAUGUUAAAGUAAAAAAAAAAUCAUGCACCAAAAAAAUUAGUAAACAUCAUUAAAAGUAACAAAAGUCGUAUAACAAACGUUGUAUAACAAAAUACUAGUAAACAUCAUCCAAAAAAGUCAUCAAACUAUAUAACAGUAAACCAAAAAGUCAUCAAACAUAGGAUCCAAAAAACUAGUAAACAUCAUCCAAAAAAAGUCAUCAAACAUAGGAUCCAAAAAACUAGUAAACAUCAUAAAAAAAACUAGUAUCCAAACUUUUCUACCCGCACCUAUCAAAGGUAACUAUACUUCCUACCCGCACCCAUCACCCACGACUCACAACUACUAUGCGAAAGUCGUAACCAAACUUUUCGAACAUCAGCACUUUCACCAAAUAGCAAAAGAGCGGUCUUGUGUCUUUCAUCUUCUUCUCCCCAUUCCAUUUUGUUCAAUUUCUCCAUACACGCAUCAACAUCCUUAUCCAUUUCACUUUUUUCAAUUCUUUCAUUUUUUUUCCACUAAUAACCUUACAAUCUUGACAAUCUCCUCUUCAACUUCUAAUGCCCUUGCAUCUCUUUUUUUUCCACCAACUCUUUUGUUUCCACCAACUUCCUUAUUUUUGAACGCCCCGAAGAUUCUUCACUUGCACCUACGUGUUGUGUUGAGGUUUCCAUUAGAACAUCAUCAUCAAAAUCAUGGGGACUAAACUCUUCUACAGGACAAGGGAGUGUAGAAGAUGGCCCCCAACUUUGAGAUCCGGUUGAUGUCAACCCUUCAAAUAGUUGGGUGCAAAGAUCAGGGAACAAUAGGGGUUUAGUUUUCAAUGACAACACGAACUUGUUCAACUGUUUACAAUUUUUAUAAAUAUUAGUAUAUGUUAUAAAAAUAAUCAUAAUAGUAUUGAUUAAAAAAAUAAAUUUAAUCAAAUAGUAUAUGUUAUAAAAAUAAUCAUAAUAGUAUUGAUUAAAAAAAUAUUACCUUCCCCUCUUCUUUCCAUUGUUCAUCGGUCAAAUUAAAUUUAUUUUUUAUAGGAUCAUAUAUAUUGCCGGUUUUGUUUUUGAGUUUCACCCAAGCAACAUACUUUGAUUUGUAGUAGUCAAAGUGGUUUCUCAUUUGCUUCUGAUCAACCUCUUUACCGUGUUCGUUUAUCAAUUUUUCGCGUAUUGUCUUCCAUGAACUUGCCUUAAGCCCAGAACCCUCACGACCAUUAGUGGUUAGUUCAUGGAUACAUGCAUCAAGAAAAGUUUUGUCCUCACUCUCGUUCCAAACCAACAUCCUAAAACAUUAAUAUUUAAAGUAAUUUAUCAUAGUUUUUAUCAAGUUAAAGAACAAUUUUAAACAUAAAGCAAUUUUCAACCAAGGAAGUUAACAUCAUCCUAAAUUAUGAUUUGAUAACUUAUACACAAACAAUUUCAGAUGUCACAAAACAUCAAUAUUCAAGCUAACAAUUUCACAAAAGAUAACAAGCUAACAAUUAAGGUCAACAAUAUCAAAGCUAUAAAAUUAGAAAGAAAAAAAAAACAGCCCAAUUUUUGAUUUUAUAGCUUAUACUUUUGAUACUAAUACAAGCUCAAUAAUUGGAAGACAUGUGAUGUUGCAUGCAUUCCCCCUCUCGCCCACUCUUCAAGGAACAAUUGGAUUAUUAAAAAAGUUAGGUUACCAUUAAUCUUAUAAUAAUUAUUUAUUAUUAAUUUUACUUUUGUACUUUACACAUAAAAACACAACNAAAACCAAAAAAAUAAAAAAAAAAAAAAAAAAAAAAAAACAGCCCAAUUUUUGAUUUACAAACCUACUUGUAUUUUCCAAUUCACAUUCAAUUUCAAUUCACAAGCUAUAAAAUCAAAAUUCAAAAAAAAAACCUUCCAAUUCACUUUCAAUUUCAAUUCAUAAGCUAUAAAAUAUGAACCGGAGAAAAAAACUUCCAAUGUGAAUUGGAGAAAAAAACUUCAAAUUCAGAAAAAAAAACAAAAAAACAAAAACAAAAAACAACUACCAAUUCACAUUCUAUUUUAGAAUUCAUAACAUUAGAAAAAAAAACCUUCAAUUUUCAGUUCUUAUACACAAAGAACUACAAAACAAAACAUAAACAAACUUCCAAUUCACAUAUAAUUUCGAAAUUCAUAUAUUAGAACAAACAAUUUCAGAUUUCAGUUCUUGUACACAAAGAACUACAAAAAAGAACAAAAAAAGCUUAUCAUAUGAACAUACAGGUUGAGAAUUCAUAAUAUUCUAACAUAUACUAAUUUGAUUUCAUAAAGAACUACAAAUUUCAUACCAUCAAAGCAUAAAUGGUAUCUGAUUUUGAAAAUUAUUAACAGAAAAAUUAUCUAACCUGUGUGAUGGAUCGAGAAGGCGUCACUGAUGGCGGUGGCGGAGGUCCGACGAGAUGGCACAGGUCCGACUGGUCGGACUGUUUGGCGUUCAAUGUUGUGGAGUUCUUCCUAGCGGCUGCUGUGCUUUUAGGUCACUAGAAGGGAAGCGAAUGGGGAAAGAAAUAAUAACGACGCAGGGGCAAGAUAAGGGCAAGAUUGUCUAAUUUCCAGUCAGCAACUGUUUAAAAACUGAUCCAGAAAGCGAUUUGGGUCAGCAGAUCUUACCGAGAAAGCUCAAAUCAAACACCAAAGGUCUGACCGAGUCAGCCCAAUUUGCUGACUCGACCCAGUCAGACAUUUAUCAAACACUCCCUUAGAAGUGCACUCUUUAAUAGACCUUGACUGCACACAUCUAUGCUCAUGAACCAAAGUUUUCACCAUCCAAUCGCUUUCUUCAUCAGAUCUAGAAAUUAAUACCACCCAAGGGCAUGUUGCUUUUUGUGAGCUGACUGUUUUAUCCUUGCAUUUGAUUCUACUUUUUGUCCAUGGCCCACCUGUCAUUUUCGGGACCACACCCCUGCAUUUUGCCCUAAUUCUUUUUUUUUUAUCAUUUUUUGAAAAGUAAAUGUUUCUCCUAGUUCGAAUUGAAUGCAUUUUAAUGUAGUCCUUCACUUCUGAUGAGGACUUAAAUAUUUGACCCAGAUGGAAUGCAGUUUCAUGUACUACUCCUGAUGAACAUGUGGUUGGUUUGUUUAACCUUCUCAUUAAUUUCUUCCUCUCAUCUUCUUCUACACCAGUUGAUUCAAAUAAUUGUGUAUCUAUCACCUCCAAAUCCUCAUCAACUGUGACAUCAGGUGCAUUGAAUGAUUGGUGGUUAUCUAGAUUUGGAAAAGAAUAAACACCACUGUGGAAGUCUUUCAUAUUCACUUCGACAUCCUCCACCAUAUUAAGUUCAUCCACUAAAAAGUCACUAUCGUCGCUUAUACUUCCAUCGGUACUAGUCUCAUCACUAAUAACAUCUCCAAUUUCUUCAUUUUCCCCCAUCUGUUGGUAAUCAUUAUGAUCCAUAUAAAAGAAAGGAUCAAAGUCUUCUGAAGGGACAACAUCUUGGGCUUUGUUAAGCUCCUCACUUGCAGGAUGAACUCGAACAUCUUUCACUACAUCUCUAUCAAAAUGUCCAAAAGGUACAACAGACCUAGAAAAGUCAUAGUUCUCAUUCAAGUCCAUUUUUCUACUACAUGAUCCUACCUUUGUACUUGUAAACUUUUUUCGAUUGAGUUCCGGAGAAAUAGGCUCAUUGAUUUCUUCCGAUACGACCUUAUUUGGAGAUAUAAAGUAUGCAUGGAGUCUAGUAGUUCCAUGUUCAGUAUACACCAUAAUCUCUUUAUGAUUAGCAACAUGCUUACUUAACAAAAGUACGUCUGAGUUGUUACCUAAAGGAAGUAACCCAUAAUCGAUUUCAAUCUCAGGAAUCAAGAAGUGGUAGUAGAUAGGCUCACCGUUGAUAUAACCUAUCUCCUUCAUCAUAUCGUCUAACUCAUGUACGGAAAACACGUCCAUGUCUACGUAGUCAACAUAGUCAAUACUCCCACCAACGUAACGUCUUCCUGGGUAUUUUGUGAACAUACCCCCAUGGUGAAUCUUGAAUGUGCAAAAACUACUUAACUCAACUGAAAAACAAAUAAAUAAUGAUAUGAGGAAAGAAUGAAGUCUCAAAAUUGAAUGUGCAUAAAUUACUUAACAAAAUUGAAAGUUGUUAACUGAUCACUCACCAUAAGCUUUGAUCAGGUCAGGAUUUUCUGAGAAUUUUGAACGGACAUUCCACAAAGUUAGAACGAUCGCAAAAGAUGAAAAUGAAAACCCUAGUUUCCGUUUGAUGUUUUGAAGUGAUGAAGAUGAAAAACCAGAGGAGAAAAGAAAGGGAUGAUUUCUUGGGGUAAUGUAAAUGGCAGCUAGAUGUAAGGAUCAUUUAUGAAUAUGAUCAUUUCGUGUAACAAAGCAAAAGACCAAAAUACCCUCGUGUGAGGGUCACGUGAUUUAGAUAAACGGAAACAAUUAAACGGAGUAUGUCAUAAGGACUAUUCGUGCAACAAUUUGGAACCAUAGGGACCAUACUCGUCCAAAAUUCCUCAUAAGGACUAUCUUUGGUCUCUUGUGCCAACCACAGGGACCAUCUGUGUAAUUUUGUCUUUUUUUAAAGAUAGUUCAUAAUUUUUCUAUUAUAUACAUUGUAAAUGAAAUUGAGAACUUAAGUAGGUCCUAGGACCUACCUAAGCACAUGGUGGAUACGCCCCUGUUACCCACACUAACCUCAUACACUUACAACACAAAUGAACUUGAACGGUCUAAGACCAAACCAAGAUAUAAUAUGAAAUGUGUAAGUAUAGUUUAAUAGAUGAAAGUGAGGUGUUGUUUGGGCUUGAAAAGUAGGGGUGAGCAUGGUGCGAUUUUUUGAGAAAACCGAACCGCAAACCGCAAGAUGCGGUUUCUAUAGGGUAAAACCGAUAGGUGUGGUUUUUGUUUCGGCGUGGUUUUACAUGCAUUUUCGGUGUCAUUCGAUGCGGUUUCGGUUUUUAACUGAAAAUAUGUGUUGGUGUGAUUUUUCAUACAUGUGUUGAUCUACCAAAGAAGUAAUAACCCCUAAAGAAGCUAGAGCAAGGCCUAAUUGAAAAUGAAGCCAAUUAUUAAUUGUGUCAUAAAGACCCUCAUGCCCACGUCUCAAUCGCCCUCUUGGAGGGAUAUGUGCAUCUAAAAGAUCUUUCAUACUGUGCCCAAUCCCAAAAUUAGUUCUAUACAUAUGCCCAACAAUAAGAAAAAGAAAUGCAAUAGCUAAAUAAUGAUGAGUCAUAUCAGCAUGUCCAAACCCGACUUUUCAGUUAACUUUCCUUUAUUUCCGGUACAGAUUCUCAUUUAAAUGUAUUUAACAUGCUUGUGAAAUAGUUAUAUGUUAUUCUUAUCAAAAUAUAGACUUCUUUAUGAUAUUACGAUUUUGAGAUUUGAAUUAUAUGUUUGAUGCAACAAGGGAUUUGGUUUUAUAAUCUCAAAUUCCAUUACUUAAUCAUUAUUGUUUAUACAGAUAGAGGCGGCUUUUGAUUCGAAUUGCAUUUUGCUUGUGAUAAGCAAAAGGAAAAUUGUUAAUGGUACGCACUUUGAUACAAAUGUCAAAUUUUAUAAAAAUAUAGCAAAACAUAAGGCAUGCACAGUGGCAAAAAGAACUGAAGAGGUCGAAGUUGAACAAAAUAUACUUUUAUUAAUAAGUAUUAUAAUAUAUUAAAUAUUGUCAGGUUUUUAUGGUGCUGUUUGGCAUUGUCCAAACCGCACCACACCGAAAAAUUACCAAUUAAGGUUGGAUUGGAAUGCAUAAUUAUCAAUUUAUCCUUAAUAAGUCAUAAAUCAACAAAAAUGGCCCAACAAUUUUCUUAAUCUUAAUUGUUGCCUUUGGAUUAGAAAUCAUCAACGAUCAAGAUUGGUUCUCACAAUUCUCUAAUCUCUACUUUUAUGUUGUUUUCAUUUGAACUCAACCCAAAAAUCUCACCAGUAAUCACCACACGAACAAAUCCCGUUCUUGAAAUGAUGAAACCUAUUUGUAUCCCGAAGAAUAAUUUCCCGCUCAACAAUCUUGGAAAUAAGCUUAGCAGCAAUAUGACAAUCCUCACAAACACGUAGAUUUUUAGUAAUCCGUAUAGGCGUAAAAGCUUUAGUAUUUAUAAUCACAAACACAAUAGCAAGCUUCUCACUAUGAACAGCAAGAUGAUUUCCUUUAUCUUCAUCUUCUAUAUCAUGAAGUGCAGAAUCCACUUCAGGAACAUACCCAAAAUCCCUCAUCUUCCCCACAAGUACUUCCAACUCUUGAUAAAUCUGUUUAGAUUGUGGAUGGGAUUGAUCUCCAGCAAGAAACGAAUGAACUUGAUUAUUAAGCUCAACAUUACUAACACCGGGCUCUUUUUUCACUCCUUUUGAUUUCAUUAUUGAACGAAUAUUUGUCACAUCUUUAAAUCUACCUGCUUUUGCGUAUAUAUUUGAUAAUAAAACAUAAUACCCUGCUUGUUCAGGGACCAAUUCAAAGAGAUGAUCUGCUGCUACAAGACCAAUUUCCAUGUUGGAAUGAACUUUACAAGCACUUAACAAAGCACCCCAGAUUCUAUCGUUUGGUUUUGUUUUCAUUUUCUUUAUAAAAUCAUAAGCUUCAUUGAUUCUUCCUGAUCUUCCUAGCAAAUCAACCAUGCACGCCAAGUGUUCGAGUCUUGGAAUGAUGUUAUACUCUUCGGUCAUCAAUUUGAAGAAAUGUUUUCCUUGGUUUAGUAAUCCGGCAUGGCUGCAGGCUGAUAGAACUGGAACGAAGGAAAUGGAAUCAGGGGCGAUUCCGGAAUUUUGCAUAUUUGAAAAGACUGUGAUAGCAGUUUCACCAUCUCCAGUCAUGCCAUAAGCAGAGACCAUGGAAGUCCAGGAGACGACAUCUCUUGUUGGCAUUUCAUCGAACACCUUGCGUGCUUCGUUUAAAGACCCACAUUUAGCAUACAUGUCAAUCAAGGCGUUCUCUACUGUUAGAUUAGGAAGAAGCCUUUUUGUUUUUACAUAUGAAUGAAUCUUUCUUCCUAGUAAUAAAGCUGAAAGAUCUCCACAAGCGGGUAGGAUGCUAGCAACUGUGAUUGAAUCCGGGUCGAUUCCGUAAUUCUCCAUUUGUUGAUAAAGAUUAACUGCAUCUUUAGGCAUCGAGUUGUUGACGUACACAGCUAUCAUGACAUUCCAAGAAAUUAAACUCUCUCGAGCGUGAUUCAUGAACAUUUCUUUCAUAAACAUCACGUUGGUAGAUGAAGUAGAAGUUGUUAAAGCAGGGGAAAGGCUGGCCAUGGUGCCUGCGUUGGGUUUUGAGGUAGAACAUUGCAUCAUUGUCUUACAAAUCUCCAAUGCAUCUUCAAACAUCCGGUUUUGGGCGUAGGCAGCAACCAUAGCAUUCCAGGAGACGAUAUCUCUACUAGGCAUUUCAUCAAACACCUGGCGUCCUUCCAGUAACCGGUUACAUUUUCCAUACAUUGUAAUCAAUCCAUUCCCUACAUAAAGAUUUGAAUGCAGACCCUUCUUGAGAACAGCAACAUGGGUUUGUAAUCCGACCCACAAAUUCUCAGACACGGAACAUGCUUUUAGAACUUGAGGAACUGUAAAAUGAUCAGGGUUAAUGUUGAACUUGAACAUGUUUCUGUACAUACGAAGUGCUUUUUCGUAGAAUUCAUUGUUUACGUAGCUUCUAAUCAUCACAUUGAAGAAGACUACAUCUUUUUGAGGAAAUUCAUCAAACAGUUGGCGGGUAACUGCGAUUUGGCGACAUUCAGAAUAAGCUUUCAUUAAUUUCAGAGCAAUAUGCGAUGCUGAGACGAGGUUUCCAUCAAUAAUUAACCUACAAUGUAUCUUUUUCAAUUGUUUGAUAUCUGGGCACUUGUCCAAGAUUUUGAUACACAAGUCUUCUGUGAUUAACAUGAUUGUUAAGGCGAGAUUUGAAUGAAUUUGAACUUAUAUUCCUUUCGCCAUGUUGUACCUGAGGGGCAAUCAAAUAGAAUGGACGAAGAUAACGAAGGUUUACUUGGUGGUGUUCACUUAAAAACAAGAAAUAUGAAGUUCUAAACGCUAUUUCUUGUUAAACAGAAAAUAUUUUGUCCAAUCUAAAAAUCCAAUUUUUGAGUAAGUUCAAGCUUAAGCUCAAAAAUAGUAAGCAAAACAUGUUUAAAAAAUAAAAGUUCGUUUGAAACUCUUUGGAUAGCUCGAGUAUAACAAUCAUCAUAAUUAUAGUCAAUAAAUCAGGCUCAAACAACCAAACUUGAUGUCCAGCCCUUGAUCAUCCAAUUGCCAACUGAAAUCAACUUAGUUUCCGGUUUUAGAAUCGCCCUAACAUUACAUAAGCACCAACUAGUUCCAAAAGUAGUUUUUAAUUCAAUGUCUCCCAUACCCGUGACUUCAAGGGUUUCCAUGUUACCCAACCUUACCAACUUAAGAUAAGUUCUUUACUUCAAUUACUAUAACAGAUCGAUGAGUCAUGUUCUAAUGACCUCUCGUCAUAUGAUGCAAUGCUUAGACUCGAGUCUUUUAAAGUCAAAUUCUAUAAUGAAAUAUACAUUCCUUCAAGUUUCUAAUGUGAUAUAAUCACAUUCUAGCAUGUAUCACUUCUAGCUACAAGCUUCUUACUUUAACAACAAUCACAAUACUUCUAUUGAUCGCUUUGAUUAUCUUUCAGUUCAAUCUUCUGGCUUAAGUCAGAUGCUACAUCGAUCUUGGUUCUCUGAACCACGUACAAUACUUAUCCUAGCUGUAAUCGAUUUGAUAUGACCACUAGGGUCGGAAUAACAAUCAUCUUCUUAGUCAUUACCGAAAUUAUGGUAAUGACACAUGAACAAAACAGAAUCAAUUACUAGCGUCUUGGUAACUCGUGACUUUCCCUGAUCCAAGUGCGAGUCGUGUGCUUCCAGUAGUAUAUGCCUCUACUACCUUUCACACCUACUCAUACUUGUCCCAAGUAUUGUCUUUCAGUUCUCCAAGUCACCAUAAAAGAAUUUCACAUAGUCAUUUAACACAUCGAAUAACAAAACUAAGGUUUAUAUUAUUUCUUGAAACGAUUACAUAGAUAUUCAAGUUCACCUUAUACCAUGCCUUUUAUAUUAGGCUACACCACAUGAUACUAUCUAUAUGGCUACUUUAUAUCUCGAUCUUCAGAUAUAUAUAGAUCCCUACUCCUAAUCCCUUGUAUCGUCACCUGCUUCAUCCAGGUUAGACUUCGAGAAUCUUCCUUUCUUAUCGAAUCUUGAGGAUCCCUCAAGCUUCUUCUUUUCUCAUGCCUUGUCUUAUUCCAGACCCUUUUUCCUAAAUUAGGUUUCCAUAUUCUUGGUUGCUCUAACGGUUGUCUUCAAAGUAGUUGCCAUUUUUACCAUUGCGCCAAAUUAUGCUGGCAAUCCGUUAGCAAAACUAUCUAUCUUGGAGAGUUCAGUAGCACCAAGUAGGGGAAUAACUUCAUCUGCUCGGUGAAUACGGUGACAUACUCAUCAACACUCAUCUUCCUUUUCUUCAAGUUCGAAACUCGUUGUUUAGGUCUAUCAGAUCUAUCUCUGAGCAGUAUUGCAUUUUCAACUGCUCCAUGAAUGCUUCCCACCUCAGGGCUUCUCCCCCAUGGCUUUGUAUCUGCCAAUAACUUCCACCAACUUAAAACUCUGGUCUUUAGUUGUCUGACUGUAAAGACGGUUUUCUGCUUGUUGCUGCAAUUGCAACUUUCAAAUGUCAUCUCUAUCUCGGAGAUCCAAUCCAUGAUCUCUACUGGCUUCGGGCUUCCAGAAAGACUUGGUGGUUUGGCACCUAAGAAGUUCUUAUACAUACGUUCAUCCUUAUCAAUCGCUUUUUUCGGGUCGUUCCUCCUUGCCACUCGGGGUUCAGCUUGACUCACUGUACGACUGUAAUUUCCCUCCUCCGACAAUUCUUCAUUCAGUUCGGGUUGCACGAUAGGCACAAUAGGUUCAUCCCUAUUAUCAAGAAACAUUUUUCUCAUCUCCUCCCUUUGUUCGGCCAUCAUAGCCCAAAUCAUUGCUUAGACUCUUGCCAUCGUGAUUGGCUCGGGUGCAGCUACUACCUCUGGUGCACAUUUAAUCACUCGUGGUUCAGGCUGUUAGUUUUCAUUAGCAUUUUCUAAUAUGUUGCGAGUUCUCACCAUUUCGAUCUAUACACUCUAGAGAUGUUCAGUGUACAGUGACGAGAAUUAAGAUAUGGAAAGCUUUAUUUACGACAGCCAUAUAAAUCUUCUUAUCACUCGUAAAAGUUAUAUACUAGUUCUAAUACCGUAAUUAAAUGUUUGGAAAUUUUGAGCAAAUGACGGUUCAUCAACAAUAGAGCGAAUCUCAUUUAGGAAUUCGUUGAUAGGUCGAUUUCCUUUAGGAUUUUUAGCAAGUUUGGAUUUUAAAGAGAUGAUUCUUGAGCAGGAGGUGCUGGCAUAGCUUGUGUUGAGAUGCUUUCAUGCUUCUUUUGUGGUAAAUACAGAGGUAAUGAUAGGUUGAAUGAAUUGCAUCUGAGCAUGAACCAAGAAUUGCAUCGAAUACUACAUGAUCUUGGCGAUAGCAAGUCGUGUAUUCAUGAUUAGGUUUGGAUUUGUCUUUGUCGAUAAUGAAUUUUGUGGUAGGAUCAGUCACCCAUGUGAUGUAAUCUUCCAGACCUAGUCCAAUAAAUGUGGACUGCACUUGUCGCCUCCAUACAUGGAAGUUGUUGGUGAGUAAUUUGGUAGGAAAGUGACUUGAGGCGGUGAUUUGUAUUUGGGAUGAUUGUGUCAUGGUGAUGUUGAUGAAAAGGAUUAGAGGAGAAAGGCAAGAUGAUCGAUUGACUCUUUAGAGUGUGUGUGCUCUGAUACGAUAUGAGAUUUGAGAAUCAAUGGGCUCGAAUGAAUAAUUUCAUUUACAAAGAUCGAUACAUAUAUAGAUGGUAACGAGAGUUAAAGAGCUAUACAUGGAAUUUACUAAGAAUAGAUUGCAAUUACAUACAAAUAGAAGAGAUUAUUGUAGAUUAGUCAUGAAGAUGUGUACGAUGUUAUAGUUAGAUUGCUUAUUUGCAAUCCAUGUUAGCUAAGUAUGUCAUGUUGAAUACAAAUUGUAUUAAAACAUUAAAGUUCCAACCAUUAUAUGUUGAAGAAGAAGCAAAUACGCCUUAGUCACACCCAUUCUAAAUGAUAUGGAUGUUAUGGUUGUCGUUUCUAUGCAACCAAAUCGUGAUUCCAAGUUGCAGUUGUCUUACCAAUAUAUCAUGUUAGGAAAAGAUGACAUAGCAUGAAAUAUUGUAUGUUACAACAAAAAGAUAUAUCUUAUAGAUGUCUUGCACAUGGGUUAUUCCUUUUUAAGCACUUAUAUAAAAAUAAUAUCACGUAUGUAUGAUAUCUAUUUUGAGAGAUUUUUAGCAAGCAACUCUUUGUCUAUUAUUGUUAUUGGAUAGAAAAAGUAUCAUCUUCGUUGGGAAGAUUUUACUAGGAUUAGAUUCAUAAUAGUUUGUCAAAGAUUUUACUAUUAUGUAUUUAUAAACCCAUGAAGUUUUCUAUUAAAUAAAUAAAUAAAUAACCAUUCACCAUUUAUAUCUUUUUGGAAUAGAGUUUGUUAAAUUCUAAUAUAAAUAAAAAGAGUAUUUAUUUAGAUUCACACAUUACAAAAUUACAAACUCCAAGCAUAAAUCCGAAACUUAUUUUUAAACUUCUUCAUUUAUAUUACAAGUUUUAUUCUUUUUUCCCAACCCACUUGGGGUUUCGAAACCCUAAAAAAGUUCUAUCCAUGGAAGUUCAUAUUUAUUUCUUAUCUUAAUGAAUUUAAGGUCUAAAUCAAUAAAUGGCAAUGUAGAAUUAACCGCAUAUAUUAAGUUAUUUUUGGAAGCUUUCCAACACAACACAGAAAGGAAAUGAUGAGAAUUUAUGGUACCAAAUAACAAAAUAAUCCCGGUUCCUAUAAAAAUUUAUUAAAGCUCUACUCAUGAUUUCAUAAUCUCCUCUAAUAUGAGGGUUACGUUAUUGUAAUAAUAACUAUGAUAAUGUAAAAGCCAUAACAUAAAUCGUCUUAAUUUAAGAAAUAAUAUAAAUCCCAAGAUAUUGUUUUUAAAAUAAAAAGGAAAAAAGUGGGAGUCCAUUAGAAGGAGCCAAGCUGAUUAUUUGAGCCAAGAGAGCACCGAUUUGUUAUCCUUCCACUGUUCGAAGCGAGAGGUUAUCGCAGCUCUGUGAAGCCAGCCUAACGCAUUGCCCUCUGCUCUAGGAACCAAGAAGCCCAAGCCUUCGCUCAAGCCACUUGAUCCAACUCCGAACUUGGAACGGGCAAACCAGAUUUUGCAACAGCUUUGACCCAACCAAACAAGGCUCGAUCUCAGUCCAUCCCACUUUAGAGCCCUCACUUGAGUCACAAGCUCGCGUUACCAAGCUCGGCGAUAAACGAAGUCCAUUUGAUGUAUAAAUAAUCGGAAAAACUUUCUCCUCCAAGCGAUGUGGGAUGCGAAACGAAAUAUUUUCAUCUUCAUUCUCUCUUUAUCUCUGUCAAAUACUGUGAUUACUGAUUACUGACUACUUAAACACCCAUGCAACGGAUUUCAAGUAUUUUUUUCAAUCCAUGGAUUUAGAACUGUAAACU
rnacentral:lncRNA from 1 species